UUUUUUUUUUUUUGUUUUCCUUUGCCUACCUCCAGCUGAGUGGAGUUCUAAUUGCAGUCAGAUUGGGAAUAGUUUAAAAUCAAAAUCAAAUAGCAAGGAACGAGUCAGAUGGUGAAUCGGAUGUAAGCCAUCCUCGACGAUCAAAAGGUACCAGCAUUGCUCUUAGCUUCAAGCUGGAUACAAACAAUUGCCGCUGGUUUACCUCCGGUUACAAUCAUCGGAUAUAGAAAUCCAGAAUCAGGCGAUGAGAUCGACGACAGAUUAGUCAAACAAAAACAUUUGAAGUUUUUGACGAAGUAGAAGAGGAGAAAAAAAGGAGGGAGGAAAUUGAAGAUUCGACUCGUGAAGAGUCCCUCAUCGUCGGGCCUCCCUGGAUCUGAGACUCAGCGGUUUCCGCAAGACAGAUGGAGGAUCGAUGAAGAAGGACUUAGCGAGCGACGAAUCGGGAAAAUGCAGUGAAAAAAUAGAGAUGAGGUGGCGGAAAAUCUGCAGAAAUGAAAAGAUACGAUACGAAGAAAGAAGCAAUGGCGUAGGGUGGUGGUACCUGUUGAGUGAUGAAGAUGCUGAAAAGCGCGGCGGAGAAUCUCUGACUCCGUUCGAUGACGAGGAUCUAUCUCUAGAUUUUGAGAGUGGCGGAGAUAGAAAAUAGAGUCAGGAAACGCCGGCCCGACUGAGAACGGAAGGGGAGGAGAGGGGAUCCGUAUUUAAGCUCAGCUGUCGUGGAGUGUUUGUCCGCUUUUUUAUUAGUUUUUGGGCCGACGUCGGCAUUGGCCCAGUUUAAUUACCCAACUCAUUGUUAUUUUUCAAUUUUCCUCUAACCAAGCUGUUCAUAAGCAGCUAAAUAAGCUCGAUUUUAAAAUAAAUCAAGAUUGAGUUAGGGUAUAUUUGUUUUCGAUAAACUCACAUGUUAAUUCGAAUUCGAACAUAAAAUACAAAACUAGAUAGUACGGUUCGUCAAUAAACUCAAUAGUACAACAUAUUUUUUGUUUCAAAUAAUAUAUAUAAAUAAAAUUUAUGUAAAAUUUUAUAAAUUUUAAAUUGAUUUGUUUUUUACUUUGAUUUGUUGAUGUUUUUUAGUAUAUAAACUUUAAAAUUUAAUUUAAAUUUAACUUUUAUUAUAAAUUUUGAUGAGCCAAAUUUAAAUUAAUUUCAAAUUUAAUUUGUUAAUGAUAAUUAAUAAAUCAAAUUCGAAUAGAUUUGAGUUUAACACAAAUCAAAAAUUUCUACCUCGAAUUUGACGAGUUAAAUUUAUGGUGAUGUUUGGCUCCGCUCUGUUCACAUCCAUAAUUUGCUUAAAAGGGCAAUCCAAUCUGUCCAUCGAUUGCAGUGGGCUUCCCAUGAUGGACGGUUCAGAUCUCAGUUGAGCCAGGGAACAUGGAAAUUGAAAAAUAUCAGAACGAGUGAAGGAUAGUGAGUUCACGUGAAGGGUGGGCAAAGAGAUUCGGCGUAGGGGCCCCACCCCACAUCCGAUCGACGGCCGACUGUCGGGGGGGGGGUUCUCUGGUGGUGGUCUCGUCUGAGAAAGAUACACGUCCCACGAUGCAUUAACUAGUGGAAAAAAAAGUAUCCAGAAUUAAUUAGUAGGGACACAGUUUCUGGCGCCGGAGAUACUGACAAAUCAACAGUGAACAGAAUGGCUGAGCACCAAGCAAAAAUUUGUGAAGCUCUGCAUGAGCUUGGUUUUGAGCCAGAUAGUCUGUAACACCUGGAGACGCCCGCCCCCGGAUUUUUUUACCGAUGGAGAAAACAGGGAAACCACUGUUGUAGAAUCGUUGGGCGUAAACACUUGAUUACUUCCACCGGAGAAGCCCAAGAUGGUCCACAGUGAUGUAUUUUGGACUCCUUCGGGCUGCAGCCCACUGGGUUCGUGAUAUUAGUGGGCGGUAGCCCGAAAAUAAAAAUCAUAUGUUUGGAAUAGGGAAUAUUACAUUUGAAAUUUUAUGUCUUUCUUAAGCAGUUAUCUAUUUGUUUGUCGCUAACUCGGUCAUUAGUUCACUUAUCUCGACAUCAAACUCAUCGGACAAUCUUCAAAGGAGUAUUAUGUGUUACCCCAUCUGAUCGAUACUAGUGUUACAAGUUAUUUUUUUUUACCCAAACAAGUACGUUAGGCUUCCACUUUUUUUGGUCCAAUUUCAUGUCCAAACACAUUCGAAUAACAAAGAUAUCCUUAAUUAUAUGUCGGGUAUCUAUUUAUUCAUAUACCAAAUGUUCACCUCCAACCAAUAUUUAUUUACCAACUCAAUGCAUUUCGAAUUUUAUACAACCAUAACUUGCUAGCUUUAAUAAUCAUAAAUAAACGAUAAUACAUUCCAAAUAAACUCGUUGGAUGAUCCAUGGAUAUUCUCAUAUCAAUAUUCUCAAAAUAAAAUAUCAUUGUGACGUCUCGUAUUCCUCCUCUUUUUGAUGUUCGAUCGAAAUCACCAACAAACUCUAAAAUCAAAACCCAAACUAACUAUAUAUGUUAAUCCUUAUCGAUUAGCCUAUAGAUAUAACAUUAAUGUUUUUGAUUACUUGCUGCAAUAAGUAUACAUUUUUGGGUUUGACUGCAGCAACAAUUGGGUGCAUCCAAAGCAUUAUGAUUUAUGACUUGCUUCUUUAAUUUCUCCCCCAACUUUUCCCCUCUAGUAAACCUUAGAUUUCAAAGUCUUUGGGGGGGCAAAGUCUUAGUAUAAUAACUAAUAAAUUAAGCAAAUAUAUAACACGCAACUGAGGUGGUAAUCAAGCAAUCAACGUGUUCCUUAAUAUAAUGAUGCACUAAUGAGUAAGGGAGUGAUUGAUUGUCCAAAGACUAAAUUUGUCAUCUAAUAGAAGAAAGGUCUAAUUUGUUGGCCUACUAAUUUGUAUAUAGAGAGAGCUAACUAUGAUUAUCAUCACGCAAAAACAAUUUACUAAUUUAAGUACUAAGCUUGCCAGAUGGGUUUCAUAGCAUUCUUCAAUGUAUUAUUUCAAACGGAAGUCCAUCAAGAUUAAGUAUUGCCAAAGCUUGAUCCUAUACAUUCCAGUCCAUAUCAGCCGUGGCUAAUUACCUCCAUCAUGCAAACAAUAUCCUAGCUAGUAGUAAUUCAAUUAUCGUGACUUGACCGGGUAGUCCGGUGCUUGUUCAAAUUUUGAGAAUUUAUUCUGAAACUCUAUUCUCGAAAUAAACAUUAUAUAAAUGACCAACGCCCAAUAUUUCCGAAUAACCAACACAACUCUACUAGAAAUUUCGAUAUAAGCCUUGCUCUUCGAGGCCGAGUGGGGCAAACAACUGGUUUCCGACAGCAACUUUUUGUAGGGGUUCCAGUAGCAAAGGAGGUUAAAAAAAGCUUGACAGCUCCUUGGACAUUUGUUGCCUCUACAAAUUAGCGUUACAUGUUUGUUAAGGCCCCAAGGAAAUAUUGGUCAAGCUCGCCAACAGAAUUGGGCCUAACCGACAGAGAUUUGCGAGUGAAGCCCAAAGUCCAUCUCAUGCAAAACAAAAAAAAAUAAAAAACUUUAGUAGUUAGGUUCGAUUUACUUUUGACCGAAAUCAAGACUCAGUUUGUUUCGGUCAUACUCAAAUCAUCCCGUAAGUUUGGGUAAAUUAUAUUUCAGUCCUAUAACUAUCAAAAGACGCAGGUCAGUUCCUUUUUAUUUUCUGUUAAAAUGUGGUUCGAUAACAAAAAUUUCCAAAAAAUUAACCAUAUAUCAGUAUGCGCUACCAUGUAUGAUAAAAAUGAAUUAAAUAUUAUAAGUUGGGCUGAUUUAUUAGUCCAAACCAAACCGAAUAACCUUACUUGAUAUAACCGAACAAAAUCUCUUAACCUGCAUUUUCAUGGAUGUUCUAUUUUGAUGUUCCAUUCGACUAAAAUUUUGGAAAAAAAUGAUGCUCUAUUUCGAUGUUCGAUUCAACUAAAAUUUGGAAAAAAUGAAUAAAGAUGAGAAAAAGAAUCGCCGUAAAAACUUGAUUGGCUCUAAAAAAUAAAUAUUGAAAAGUAAAUAUUACUAAUUUCGUAUAUGAGUUUAAAAACUAUAGAGAAACAGAUAUUUUAUUAAUGUGUAUGUAAUGAAAUAAAACAUAAAUGGACGAAUGCUAAAGAUUCCAUCUGGUCCAACCACCAAAACACCUCCUAUCAAAAUUAAAUAUAAACNNNNNNNNNNNNNNNNNNNNNNNNNNNNNNNNNNNNNNNNNNNNNNNNNNNNNNNNNNNNNNNNNNNNNNNNNNNNNNNNNNNNNNNNNNNNNNNNNNNNNNNNNNNNNNNNNNNNNNNNNNNNNNNNNNNNNNNNNNNNNNNNNNNNNNNNNNNNNNNNNNNNNNNNNGAAUAAUUAAAUCCUUUUAGUUAUUUAGAUGAGAUGUGACAUAACAUUUUUUAUAUUUGCGUUAUUUUAUCGAACAUUGAGAAAUCAAAUUAAAGAUUAACUUCAAAGAAUUAAGAAGAGUGAAUAGUCUAUGGAGUUAUUAUUUGAGUUUGCAUUCAUUUGUACACCAACUAUAAAAAAACAUAUAUAAUUUUAAUAAUGAGUAUGUAAUGAAAGAAAAAUAAAAAUUAGAGGAAAUGGAGCAUAGGCCAUCUCUUGUAGCUUUCAAACCUAUUUGCAUUUUAAUCAACUCAUACACAUUGCCAUUAACGUAGAGUAAAAUAUAUUGUUUAUUUUUCAAGAUUUGAAACAAAAAAACAUACAAAUUGGUGCUUUGUGUACAUUAACAAGUUUUAACGAUUGUAAUAACAUUAUAGGUUGGUACAUAGAGCCAACCAGAGACGAAAAUGAUCCCAACUUCGUCACAAAGGAAAGCUGACGAAGUUCACUAAUGUCUCCGUCAGAAAAUUUGUUAAUAAUUCGAAUUAUUGAGAUACAAACAGUUUUUGACGAUCAUAUCUUAUCAUUGAACCACAACACGCCUUUAUCUUCAUCAACCUCGACAUAGACACAGUGCUUAGUCUCCCUCCAUAAUGCCUUGGCGAUAGGAGUCCGGUCAGACCGAUAAUACUCACCCAAAACGGGCUUGAUCGCUUCGGUUGCUUCCGCCGCAUGGUAAUGAGGCAUCGUCGAAAACAGAUGGUGCGCCACAUGAGUAUCUGUAAUGUUGUGAAACACCUUGUUCAAAACCCCAUAAUCCCUAUCUACAGUCGCGAGCGCACCCCUCAACCAAUCCCACUCCGAGGAAUCAUACCGCGGCAAUGCGACAUGCGUGUGAUGCAAGUAAGUGAUCGUAACGAUCCAUCCAUUCAUCACCAACAGAGGGACCCCGUACACACAAACAACCCAACCAACUCCGUUCGUCAGGGCAAGUUUAUACAGAGCGAACCACAUAGCAAGCACGCCAACAUCAGAUACAAAUAUCUCAAUUCGCUCCCGAUCGUUAUAGAUAGGGCUUCGCGGAUCGAAGUGGCUAGCGAAUUUCUCGUACGGUCUUCCUGCGAUGUUGACCGCAAGGUAGAGAGGCCAUCCUAGAAGCAGAGCAAAGGCCAGCUGCAGGACGCGGCCAGGCGGGUUAUUGAAGAACUUGAAGUGCCAGCUCAGCUUGGAUUUCAGCUUAGGGACGAACACCUCGUCACGCUCGAGGGAACUCGUGUUGGCGUGGUGGCGGCGGUGGCUGUGCUUCCACGAGAAGUAAGGCGAAAGGAGGGCCGAGUGGAGGAUGAACCCUACCGAGUCUUCCAGCCAGUGUUGGUCGCUAAAGGCGUGGUGACCGCACUCGUGGGCCACCAUCCAUACAGCGACGAAGAAGCAGCCUUGGCUGGCCCAGUAGGCCGGCCAAGCCACGUAGGAUGAGAGAGGUGUCGGGAGGAGGUGGAAGUACGUGGUGGCGAUGUGGUAGAGGAUUGUGACGGCGGUGAGGUCGUAGGCUAAGUAGGCAAAUGAUCGGAGGAGGGACCUUUGGAAGCAGUGCGGUGGUAUGGCUUUCUUGAUGUCAGAGAGGGUGAACGGCGGCUUUGAGUGUGGCGAUCGCUUCAUGGUUGUGUUGGAUGAUGAAGGCGGCGGCGGCAUUUUAGUUGCAGGGGAUGAGAACAGAGGAGAAGGAUGAGUGUAUUUAUUUGACUAGAAACAGAAGACAAGCAUCUCUAGAAACAGUAGACCAAAGUCAAAAGGAAUUAAUUGUGUUUUAUUUUCUUCGUCGUAAUAAAUGAGAUAAUUUUAAUUUUUAUUCUUUUCAUAAAUAACUUUGAAUGAGAAAAAUCAAAAUAAAUAAACAUACAAUAAUUUAUAAAUCGACCUUAAUAUAAUUCAAAAAAUAUGAAAGGACCGCUUGCCCUAUUUACCAAUCGACGGACCGCUUGCAUAAGGGAUUGUCGAAAAAUGAACUCACAGGGGGAAAUGUUAAAAAUAAUGGAGAAACUCACACAGCAUGGCAAAUGGCAGACGGAAAAUAUAAAUUGGUUCAGGCCCAACCUAAAUGGCCGGCCCCGUCCGACUUCGUUCGGCCAGACUAAAACGGGUAUUCAUUUGACUUUGUCGGCUUCUUCAGCUUUAUCUGUAUACAGGGCCGUCCUGGAUUUAGAAUUAUUACCAACUGGUGGUCCAUAUUUCGAAUAGAUCGUAAUUAAUUACAUUAUAUUGCUGGUUGUUCAUUAUACAAGUUUAUCAGUCCAGUGUUGCCUUGUUUGAUCCCCGUUGAAGCUUCUCCUCUCACUUCUUCACUUCAAGGAAAAUUGUUUCACUGCGUACAUUUUCUGUUCUCUUCCGGCACCCAAUCUCCAUAUAUUGACGAUAUAUUUCUUUUAUUUUUUAUCUCUUAUAUUGAUAAGUUUGUUAGGUCUAUUUUUGAGAAAAAAAAAUUAAAAACAUGAAAUCACAUGGGAGCCAAUUUUGAGCCGCCCCCCGGGCAGAUCCAUGGUUAUCAAUUUUGAGCCGCCCCUCCCCGGGUAGAUCCACAAUUUUCUUAGUAUGAAUACUUGUUUUUUCCACACAAGUCAUUUUCUGAUUGGAAAGGAGGAUCUCUUGACGGCUGAAGGAAAUAUAAACGGCCAAGAUUCAGUCUUGAGCACCUUAUACUGGUUGGUUGCUACUUGGCAUUUGAUCCGGGAGCGGAUCUGGGCCUGCCUCCACCCGCUUUACGUCUAUAAUUAUUAGCUAUAAGUUUUUAUAUUUCAGUAUAAAAAUCUUUCAUAUAUUAUAUUUAUUUUCUGUCUACUUUUAUAAUAUCAUCUUCAUCUCACCUAUUUUUCGACAAAAAAAAGACAACAAUUUAUAACGUGGUGUACUCAUUACAGAAACUCCAGUUUUAAAAUCUCGGUAGCCUCCAAACUCACAAUAUUUCGAAACCUCACUAACAUAUAUAUGCACGAGCCGACAAAAUUGGACCAUUUGGACCGUGAACCAUUAAAAAAACAACAAUGAAAUAAAAUUAUAAUAUAAUUACAAUUCAAACGCAUACUUUUACAAUUCAUACGUCCUAAUAUGGUUUCUGGAAAAACAAUAUCAUUAUUCUGUUGCAUAAGACCACUUACCAAAAACAAAAUAAACCUCACCUAUAUACACUUAUAUAAUUGUUCAAAUUCCUAACUCUUACGAAAGUUUAAUUAUCUUAAACUUUUUCUAUAUGCGGUAUAUAACAACUUAAAUUAUUAAGACAUAACGAUCGAUAAAACGGCUAUUUUUGAAAUUUUAUCUCUGCUUGACUUUGUUUAUAAUGAGCUCAUGCCCCCAUGGUAUCAUAGCUUGCCCUUUUUUAUUUUAAAUUUUAGAUUUUGUGAAAACUUUUACCAUCUUAAAUACACAUCCCCCACUUCUCCCUUUUCUUCUCCCACCGUAACAAACCACUUUCGUCUUCCCUACCACCAACACCAAAAAUGGUAUCCAAUACCACCCUAAAGCGAACACCGACCACAAAACCGCCGUUCACCCUCUCCGACCUCAAGAAAGCAAUACCACCACACUGCUUCCAAAGAUCCCUCCUCAAAUCCUUCUCCUACCUAGCCUACGACCUCACCGUCAUCACAAUCCUCUACCACAUCGCCACGUCAUACUUCCACCUCCUUCCCAAACCUCUCUCCUACGUGGCCUGGGUGGCCUAUUGGGCCGCUCAGGGGUCCCACUUCAUCGCCGUGUGGGUCAUCGCCCACGAGUGCGGCCACCACGCCUUCAGCGACUACCAGUGGCUAGACGACGCCGUCGGCUUCCUUCUCCACUCCCUCCUCUUAGCUCCUUACUUCUCCUGGAAGCACAGCCACCGCCGCCACCACGCCAACGCCGCCUCCAUCGAACGUGACGAGAAUUACAUCCCGAGAAAGAAGGACGAAGUCAACUGGCAUUUUAAGUACCUUGAUAACCCUCCCGGACACGUGUUCUAUAUAUUCUUCACUCUCACCCUCGGAUGGCCGCUCUACUUGCUGGUCAACAUCUCCGGGAGGAAAUACGACGACGGAUUCGCCAGCCAUUUGUAUCCUUUCUCCCCGAUCUACAACGAUCGGGAGAGGUUCGGGGUGUUCCUCUCCGUCGCGGGGAUGCUCGCCACGUGGUUCGGACUUUAUAAGCUCGCAAUGGUCAACGGUCUCGGCUGGGUUGUUUGCGUGUACGGGGUCCCUCUGAUUCUCCAGAAUGCGAUGUUGAUUACCAUCACUUACUUGCACCACACGCAUCUCAACCUGCCCCACUACGACUCGUCGGAGUGGGACUGGAUGCGGGGUGCGCUCGCGACUGUGGAUAGGGACUACGGGAUUUUGAACAAGGUAAUGCAUAAUAUUACGGAUACUCACGUGGCACACCAUCUGUUUUCGAUGAUUCCUCAUUACCAUGCGAUGGAGGCUACGAAUGCGAUCAGGCCGGUUCUGGGGGAGUACUACCAGGCCGAUACGACGCCGUUUAUUAAGGCGUUGUGGAGGGAGACUAAGGACUGUGUUUAUGUUGAGGCGGAUGAUGAGGGCGGUGAUCAGGAGAAGAAAGGAGGGGUGUUCUGGUUCAAAACCAAACUGUGAUUUGUGACGUCAUAAUGAUGGUGUUGGGUUGUUAAAGGGUUGUUGUGAUCCGAUUUAUGUUAUGUCUUUGAAUAUGAAAAAAAAAUGUCCCUCACCCCGUUUGAUAUAUCUCUAAUAAAUAUUAUAACUAGAGGGCGACUUGACUAGAAGGAAGUUACCGUUAUAGUUGGAAAGGUUGUGGAAAGGGUAUAAAAGAUUACAGUUGACGAGUGGGAACUCACAUAAUUCUAAAAGCUAAGCUCACACACUAAAAAUUAAAUCCAAAAUACAUAAUACAUUACCGUACAUAACAGGUUUAAUCAUUACGGUUAUCACUGAUAUGGAGCUUAUUGUUAGCGUAGUUGUAUAGGCCCAUACCUGAUUGGCUCAUUUGCUGUUUAACCCUAGUAGUAGGGUAUCACACACGUAUUUGACUGUAUUCGUGAUAGUCAGAAUAAGAUUUCUCUGUCGUUGUGUCGUGGAUUAAUUUUGACGGUACUUGUUGGGAAUAUCACGUAAAUCUUGUCUCAUGUGAUUGUUCUUCAUCUCCUUCUCAAUGUCGAUGUCAUGCGGGAUGUUUGUCACCUCUCUGAUUAUUUCUUUAUAAUCGGUAUUUCUAAUCCUUUCCUAGUAGUUAUUGACUGCGUAUAUUCAGUGUCUUUGGGUUGGCUUUUUGCAAGGUAUCUUGAAGAGGACACUAAACCAAAUUUUUUUAUGCACAUGUGCUCGAAGGCAUUACAUCUUGCCUAUAGGAAGAAGCUAUUAUCAUGGACAUGCACAAUUUUUACCAUUCGUUUUCUGCACCAUUUUGAUAGUUGGAGUCGUUCAUUUUAUGACAUAUGUCCGACUCAUGGAUAUCUUACAAGGGUGUUGUCAAUAUUUUUUACUUCAUGAAUAAAUAUUUAAAUUUUACUGCUUUCUAUUUAUGUAUUUCCUCACAAAGCCAUCCAACGUUUUGGUUUGGGUGACGUAAUAUCUGGCGAAAAUUUAUCCUAAUUAUUUUGUCGGGAUAUAUAAUUCCAUUUUAUCCCUUAUGACUUCGCAGUCUUGUGUUUGUUGAGAUGGCUCUUUCCUCUUUGGUUGAAUUAAUAAUUCAUUAUAGAUUCACCCAUCUACUUGGGGAAAAUGUGUAUAGAAGGUGUAUACUUAUCCUAAAUAGUUUUUCGGAUAAUAAAUACCAUACAGUAUCAAUACUCGUCAGGUUUGUAGAUGGUUUCGGCUUAAGACAUAAUCGAAAAACCCAAAAAAGAAAAAAUAACAAAUUAAAUCAUUUUCAUAAAUCGAGAAUAGAAAAAAUAAAUCAAAUUAGAUAACCAAACAUUUGAUCAUUUCAUACACAUCUCAUUACAAAAAUAGUUUAUUAAAAACUUAAUUGUGCAAGUUUGGAUACUUAAACAUCCAUAUCCUCUCCACCCACAAUAACUAUUUUUUGAUUUAAUCACAUUAUAAAAAUACUCGAUCUAUUUAAUUAUAACGAUAUAUUAUCUUAACAUCUCCCGCCCCGAAGAUAUCGAGUAAACAAAACGUUACCACCGGAAGUAGUAAUAAAGCCAAAAUGUAAGAAUAAAAAACAUAGACCAUGUUCUCGAUGAAUCUCUCUUCUUGUUUUGUCUCUAGCUACUCUCAGAAAUCUGAAUCAUUGAAUCGGCACUCGACACAACAAGACAAAAUUAAAACAAACAAAACAAAAGCCAAACGAAUCUUUUGCAGAACCAAAUUAAAUAAUUUGUAUCGAGACGAAAAGAGAUUCGACAUUUGAGCCGCCACGAGAUCCACACGGUCUUCGAUCGGGGAAUACCGGAAUAGGUAGGCAUUCCCAUUGAGUCAACCGUACAGUUUCAUUGGUUAGCUAAUCUAUUUUUAAUUAUUCAGAUCAAGACAACUGAAUUAUUAACUGGAAGGCUUAUUAGUUUAAUUACUGUACUAAGUCUGGAUCUCAGAUUCAAACAUGGAGGCUGGCUGCUUUCUGAAUCAACAUAUUUGAAUCCUUCAACGCUGAUAUAGCUGGGUCGACGUCAGUACCGUGCGCCAGCAUUAAUUGGAUUAACAUCCAUCCUGCGAAAAUCGCUGGCAUUCGUAGCACCGGAAAGAUGGAGUUGGAAAUUGAAGUUUACAAAGGUCUGCAAUAUUAUUGUGCGCAAAUCAAUUGUUAAUAUUGGGGUUUGUGGAGAUUCGAACUCACGACCAUUUGGUUAAACUAGGUUUUAAUGUCGUGUCAAGAACCGUUUGCAUCCCAAUAACACGAGUUGUCGGAACAUUUUCUUACAAGUAUAUAUGAUACGAAUUGGAGAACAUGUAUGGGUGUAUUCUGUACGACGAAUCUUACUGAUGAGAUGGUUAUGGUGCACGCACGCACCUCAUAGGAGAAAAGGGGUGUUAGUAUAUAUGAGUCCGAAUGUGUGACGAGAGGGCUAAGUGUUUAUAAGGAAAUUGGGAAACGGAGAAGUAUUGAUCAACAAUGACUGCUCUGAGCCGAUUAUAUAUGUGUAGUGGGUUGUUUUGGCGUGCCUCUUGAACAGUAAUGAUCCAUUGACUUCCUUUAGAACAUUUUCAUUGCAAAAUUUUAAUAAUUGCUAAAAUUUUAAUAAUUGCUAAAAUGAUGUGAAGAGUGAGGUGACAUCUAAAUAGCAUUUAUUAAGGAGUCAUAUAAAAUUGGUAAAUUAUAAAGUUUUCUAAUUCAGAAAGUUAAUUAGCAAUGUCACAUAAACAAAUGAACCACUUUUUAAGAAAAUACNNNNNNNNNNNNNNNNNNNNNNNNNNNNNNNNNNNNNNNNNNNNNNNNNNNNNNNNNNNNNNNNNNNNNNNNNNNNNNNUGAUAAAUAGAAAUUGCUAAACAAAUUAGAGAUGGAGGUGGUUGAACAUUAUUCAUUAAAUGAAUUAUUAAACUUGUUGAUGUGGCAAUGUGAACACAAUUGAAAAUUUCUAAAUAAAUUUUGAGAUGGAAAUGACCUUAUAGUACUGUCUCGAGAAUCGAGUUCACCGCGUUAGGGUUUCCAUAUCCUCCUAAGAUUAGUAUUGCUCAAUCAGCUAGCAACGUUAGCAUUGGAACCUCGUUUGGAAUAGAUUUUGCAAGUUGCUGCAUCAGCAUUAAUUGCUUUUAGAUUUUGCAAAAAAAUAAAUAAAUCAGAUUAUGGAAAAUUGUUGAGGUUGCCUCUAAAUUAGUAAAUUUACUAACAUAAAAUCGAAAACUUAAUCUAGGAAACCAAUGGCAUCUUUUACUUUAUAAAAUAAAACUUAUGGUUGGUUGAUAAAAACAAAUAUGAAACUUAUGGCCCCACGGAUUCGUCUAGUAGAUUAGUUUCGAAAGUUUCGACCUGCUACUGUUCAAAGGCUUGGAUAUGUGGAAGCUCAAUUUGAAUUUCGAAAAGACUAUAAAAAAAAAUCCUCAUGUUUAUUAUGAAGAGAUACAAUUCACCUACCUUAAAUAUUUCAAAAUCGAGAAGUCCAGUUUUUACAAAUUAAAAGCUUUAGACUCAUUGCUCACUCAAAAACAACCACAUAAUACUUCUCUGUCUCUCUCGAUCUCCUACUUUUAUCAUAUACUUACCCUACUCAAACUCGUAUAUUGACGUCACCACACGUUUUUUUAGUAAACGCCAUUAGGCCUCAAGGCGGCCGACUCAACCCAUUCUCUAUGGAAAAACUAUUCAUUGGUUGAAUCCAAAGUGACUUCGACCAAUCAAAACUUAUGAUAUUUUUUCAAAAACACAUGCCAAGGUCCAUAUUUAUCACUUGAUCAUGCAUUUGCAUGCAAAAACGUCAAUUAAAAUAAAGUCAGUUAAAAAAUUCCAAUCACAAUGACUAAGUCUAUGUUUAACGAGGACCGUAGUCUACUAGUCUUUAGCUUACAUCCUACGUGGAAUUUUACCUUCAAUCUAAUUUAGCAUAGUCGGCGAGAAAAUAACAUAUUUACACGUGGAAUUUAAGUAUUUAGUGAAAAGAUUAUGGAAAUGACCAUUGAGGAUGCUCGACCACAUUAUUACCGUUUCACAAAUAUGGGUUGUGGUUUUAUAGAUCAACUAUUGAACGACAUAACAGAACACACAUCCCUUUGCGGUUAUGUAACGACUAAAAAACAAUAAGACUCGAGACGGGACACAUCACAAAAACGUUACAAACAUAAUCACGACGACGAUCAAAGAAGAAGAAGGAAAAGCAGCAGAGACGAUCGCUAUCACAUGCAAUGUCGUUUAAUUUAGAGCUUGGUAUUGAACCAGAACACGCCUUUGUUAUUUUCACCUUCGUCCGCCUCGAUGUAAACACACUGCUUAGCCUCCCUCCACAACGCCUUAACGACAGGCGUCCUGUCGAUGUGGUAGUAGUCCCCCAACACGGGCCUAAUCGCGUUGUUGGCUUCCAUGGCAUGGUAGUGAGGGAUGGUCGAGAUCAGAUGGUGCGUCACAUGAGUAUCUGUAACGUUAUGGAACACCCUGUUCAAUAACCCAAAGUCUCUAUCCAUCGUUGCUAGGGCUCCCCUCAACCAAUCCCAUUCCGAGGAAUCGUACCGCGGGACCGCAAGAUGAGUGUGGUGCAAGUAAGUGAUGGUUAUGAAGAAUCCGUUCACCACCAUGACCGGAGCCCCGUAGACGCAAAAAACCCACGCCAUUCCCUUGACGAGGAUAAGUUUGUACAGCGCGAAGCACACAACAAGCAAGCCAACAUCGGAGGCGAAUACCUCGGCCCGCUCCCGGUCGCUGUAAAUAGGGGACAUCGGGUAGAAAUGACAGGCGAAACCGUUGUAUUCCCUACCGGAUAGGUUGAAAGUCAAGUAGGAAGGCCAGCCGAGGAGGAUGGUGUAAGCCAGCGCCAAAAGUCUGCCGGGCGGGUUGUUCAGGUAGCUCGAGUACCACCACCGCAACUGAGACUUCUUCCUCGGAAUGUACACCUGUUGAAAAAUGUGAAUAAUUAAGUCUCAAAUAUCACAUCGGAGAAAGAAAAAAAGACUAAUGCAAAAACGUCUUUGUAGAAAGAUCCAGUUCUCCAGGUUGGAUUGGACUUGAGACCAAUAUUAUUCAUUUUGGAGAUAAUUUAUUUGUUUAAAUUAUCUGAAAUUUUAUUCAUCUCCCUAUUUUUGCACAUGGAAGUUGAAAGUUAUAGCUCUGUUUUUAUCUUGGAUGUUGAUGGAUAGUUUGUCCAUGUAUACUCAGCCAGAUCGAUAAACCCUGAAUAUUGCUUCUUGUCCGGUUCCCAACAGUAUAUACCUCGUCGCGCUCGAGGGAGCAGGUGUUGGCGUGGUGGCGGCGGUGGCUGAUCUUCCACGAGAAGUAAGGGGUGAGGAGGGCCGAGUGGAGAAUGAACCCGACCAGGUCGUCGAGCCACUGGUGCUCGCUAAAUGCGUGGUGGCCGCACUCGUGGCCGAUGACCCACACACCGGUCAGGACGCUGCCCUGGACGAACCAGUAGGCCGGCCACGCCACGUAGGAGAGAGGUUUGGGGAUGAGGGGGAAAUAAGUGGCGGCGAUGUGGUAGAAGACGGCGGCGACGAUGAGGUCGAAAACCAAGUAGGAGAAGGAACGUGGGAUGGAUCUUUUGAAACAGUGCGGCGGAAUGGCCUUCUUGAGGUCGGCGAGUGUGAACGGCGGCUUUGAGGACGGGAACCGCUUGGCGCCGGCGGGACUGGGUNNNNNNNNNNNNNNNNNNNNNNNNNNNNNNNNNNNNNNNNNNNNNNNNNNNNNNNNNNNNNNNNNNNNNNNNNGGUGGGGGGGGGGGGGCGCUUUUAGAUGUGUCUCUCUGUUUUUUGAUUGAUUGGUGGGAUUUUGAUGUUGUCUAAUAUGAAUAGGUCGAGUGCUUUUUAUACAUGUUUUCGGAGAGGCUAGUACAACUCGAGAACAGCCCAACAAAACUCGAAAUAGUUUAAUAUUGUCUCAUUUGAUGCUCAAUUUUGCACAAAUUUGUUUUUGAGUUAGUUUUCAACUUUGGAUCCAGGUAAAAUAUGGACUGAUUUAAUUACUGAAGUGUAGUGUAAUCCCAAUCAUGUGUACUUACUAGAGCAGUGCUUUGUGGCGCCAUGUAUGGCCUGUUUUUAGCAUGAGACAAAGGCUAGCUAUCGGAAAGUGCAUUUUCAACUGGAUUCAACUCGUGGUUUUGUAUUCGGGAAGCACGAUAACCUCUCAUAAUAGUUAGUGAGAAGUUUCGGUCUCCCACAUUUUUAGAGAAUGUAACACUGUUACGAAUCUCCUCGUCUAUCACGAGUGUUCCGUUAAUUUUGAAUAUCACAAUAUAUAUUUUGAUGUUUUCAUUGGCUUAAAUUGUAUCCUCGUUGAUAUGUCUGAUGCCAUGGCACACACCACUUGUUUAUUUGUUUGAAGUAAUUGGGGUAUUGCCUCAACCGUUUCUAAAAGAAAAUGUAGUCUAUUUAAUCACCAAAUUAGAAGCAUGUCAAUAAUUACAAGAGAGAAAAAUCAUACAAAAAGUCUUUAUGUUGAACUUUGUUAGUCCAAAUCCUCCAUAGUCAAAGGAGUCGGGUCAACAAGGCCUGCAAUAGCGUGAGGACAUGGGGACGAAAUCUUGCGGGACAGUCAUACUUUGUACUUUUAUUGUAUGUUUCCAUACUUAAUUACCUACUUUUUUAUCGACUAGAUAUCACUUUUUUUUUGUGUUUGUACUCUUGGACUAUAGUGGAAUUUUCGUCGCCACCGUACCCUCAUGUUUUUUUCCAUAAUAAUUUUUCAUAUAAAAUCAUUUAAGUCAUCUCUUUUUCAAUCCAUCUUAGUUUCGUUUACUGUUAGUCCAUUUCUUUUUGGAAAAAAGAACGAUUAAUAUUAGUUACAAAAUUUAGUAUAUUCAAACGAGGCAAACAAUAGCUAUUUACAACUUGUCUGUACCAUUUGAAACACUGGAUAAAUUUGGCUCUUGCUAUUUAUAAUUUUAUUAAACAAUUAUUUAUGUAGUUUUUAAAAUUCUGAAAUAUCAUCAAAAUUGAUUUUUUAUAUUCAUUUUCAAAAGAUUGAAAUUUUAAUAAAAAAUAUUUAAAUCAAAAUUAAAAUAAAAAAAUUCUGACAAAAGUAAAAAUGAUAGGAGAAAUAAAUAAAGAAGAAAAAAUCCCUUAUAAAACCCUAUCUCAAAUAUAAUACUGUUAGAUUUGUAAGAUAAAUUUGGACACUUUAACCUUUUUGCUGGCUAAAUAUAACCCAAAAAUCUUUAAGAUUUAGGAUUAUAUAUUUAUAGAUCGACCGAAUUUAUGAAAUCGAUCUUAAUAUAAUUCGGAAAAUAUAAAAGGACCGCUUGCCCUAUUUACCAAUCGACGGACCGCUUGGGAAGUAAACAACGAUAUUAUUAUUUAAUUGGGAUUGUCGAACAAUGAACACACACAGCAUGGCAAAUGGCAGACGGAAAAUAUAAAUUGGUUCAGGCCCAACCUAAAAGGCCGGCCCAGUCUGACUUCGUUCGGCCAGACUGAAACGGGUAUUCAUUUGACUUUGUCGGCUUCUUCGGCUUUUUCUGUAUACAGAGCCGUCCUGGAUUUAGAAUUAUUACGAACUGGUGGUCCAUUUUUCGAAUGAUGAAUAUAGAAUAGAUCGUAAUUAAUUACAUUAUAAAUUAUAUUUCUUUUAUUUUUUAUCUCUUAUAUCGAUAAAUUUGUUAGGUCUAUCUUUGAGAAAAAAAAUUAAAAAUAUGAAAUCACAUGGGAGCCAAUUUUGAGCCGCCCCCCGGGCAGAUCCAUGGUUAUCAAUUUUGAGCCGCCCCUCCCCGCGGAGGACCACAAAAUAUUUUCGGAGAUCACCUAAGGUAACUCACCCCCAAUUCUAUGUACUACUAUCUUUCGAUAUAGUGUUACAACACUUCAUAACUUAACAUCAAUGGUCAAAACUUUCUUCAUACCUCGAUGUUCGGCGAUAGUAAAUUUGUAACAAAGAGGGAAAUAAAAUGAUCACAAUUUUCUUUUGUUACAAAUGGAUGAGUAGAAGUUAGUUAAUUUAAAUUUUCCCGUGUUAAUGUUACGUAUAUUAUAUUUAUUUUCUGUCUACUUUUAUAAUAUCAUCUUCGUCUCGCUUAUUUUCGACAAAAAAAAAGACACAACAGUUCAUAACAUGGUGUACUUAUAGUCGGUUAUAAUUAGUGCUUAUAAUAACUAUUAUAACUAUUUAUAUUUCUAAUUAUAAUUAUAAUUACUUCAUACCUCGAUGUUCGGCGAUAGUAAAUUUGUAACAAAGAGGGAAAUAAAAUGAUCACAAUUUUCUUUUGUUACAAAUGGAUGAGUAGAAGUUAGUUAAUUUAAAUUUUCCCGUGUUAAUAGAUUAAAAUAGUCGAAUCGUAUGGAAACAAAAAAAUCGGAUUCCCAAACUUCAACACUAAGCUUAUAUAUGACGUCGGUGUGGCUGUUGAGAUCGAUGCUCUUUGCCCCUUAUUACAAAUAUUAUUUACUUAUUUUCCAACCACUAUGAAGCCAACCUGAGAGAGCCGCCGCCUAUAAACAAGAUUAAGCCAAACCAAACUGAAAUUAAUUACAUAUUCAAACAUGUUUGUUAGAUCUACGAAAUAAAUAUAAAGUGUGAAUUAAUAAAUAAUAAUAAUAAAUAAUAAUAACUCAAUCUUUCCAUUGGUGUUAUACUUCUGAAGCGGAAUGAUUCCUCUUUUUGAGCGAAUUGGGGUUUUUAUAACCCUCAAACUUUUGGCGUCAAUCGCGUCUCCUUUCCACCGAGCCUUCAUCCGACAACAGUACCAUCGUCAUUCCUAUCACAACUACACAAUCAAGGCGAGCCUAGGGGUUCAGCAAUCCUUUGGCGUUUUCUUUAGGGAUUGAUCGAUGCAUCGUGAUGUCGCUCUCCUUCCCUUAUUCAUCAUCACCGUCGCUCACCCGCCACCUCCCUCCUCUCCUCCCGUCGAUCACCAUGGUGAGCACUCCGACAGCGGUUGUCGAGACAGCAAUACAACGACAGCUUGAUGCACUGCAGCUAACAGAGGCGGAGAACGAGAACCCUUCCAAACAGAUGAAGAGUAUAUAGGGAAACUAAAAAAACAUGGCAACGGCAGGCCUGAACAACAGGUCCUGCCCCGAGAAGUGAUCCGCCGGCGAGAACUCACUCGAGGUAUCAGCCUCUUCGAGUGUUGGAUGUUUUGGGUGUCCCCAGUUCGGACUCCACCAGUCAUUUAUUGCUUUCUUAGUUUUGGAUGUGUUCUUUCUGCUUGAACAAUUAUUUCUUAUUUGUUUUCACGUUUGCUGUCGGGUAGAGUUUAAUGCCUGCAAUGUUAACCCGUGUUCAAGGAUUUCUAAUAUAGAGGUGGCUCGAAGCACACAAGUAGUAGCUCAAACUAUUCUUUUAUGGGCCGGACUUCAUUCGUUAUGAGUGAUAAUCCUCCCUAAAAAUCAUUUGACGGAUUGAAUAUCAUUUGGCUAAAACAUAAUAAUAUAAAUAAACAAAUUUUGAAAUAAUAAUAAUAAUAAUAAUUAAAUCAAACUGAAGAUAGGCUUCAGAUCCCAUCUUCAAUAUCAUAGUGAUCUUCUUGCUAGUUUGUCAAGUUUACAAAUCAAAUUAGGUAUACUUUAGAAAGUGUCCAAUUAAUAUGACAUGAUAAUGGAAAACAACAGAUGUUUUGUCUUCUCUUAGAUUCAUAGAUGCAAAUAAUUUCAUGUUCUGUUACGUCGUUGAAUAUUAUUUAUAAACAUAACAUUCAAUGUACCACACUAAGUCUUCGUGCCAUCAAAAAUCAAUUUAAAUUCUUGUUUUGCUCGUGAUGAUGAAUACGCUAUGCCAAAAUACUUUGUUCACUGACUGAUCGAUAGUUACAUGUAAUAUAUAAGAAAAUGGUAUAAGAGUCCUAAUUAAUUUUCCCUCAAUAAUUAAAAUUAUUGAAAUGUAAUUGUUUUUACACAACAUUUUUAAAGAAAAAUUAUUUNNNNNNNNNNNNNNNNNNNNNNNNNNNNNNNNNNNNNNNNNNNNNNNNNNNNNNNNNNNNNNNNNNNNNNNNNNNNNNNNNNNNNNNNNNNNNNNNNNNNNNNNACAUCCUAUAUUGAAAUUUUUUUAAAACACGACGAUUAAAUAAAAAAUUAUAUAAACAACUAAUUCGAAAUCUAAAUUAAGAAGAAUGUCCCUUAACGACGCGUACGGUGCGCCGCGCGGUGCGCACCUUACAAUUCUCCGAGCAUUAUUUCAUUUCUUUCACCAUUAUGAAUUUUGUAUUUAACUCUCAAACUUGUGUAUAAUUGAAAUUUAAUCACUUAAUUAGUUUAUGAAGUGCAGUUAACUGAAAUUCGAUUUUCGGUGAGUUAGGUUAACAUCAAUUGGUUACGAAAUUGAUUAAAAUGCACUAAACCAGUUAAAAUGUGAGCUCAAUCCGUAUAAAGGUCAAUCCGUAUCUGUGCUGAACUCGAGUUAACUGUAACCAGAUUCUAAAUUAAAAGAUUGCGGAUAUUAAGUUUACGUUACACUGAUAUAAUAAUUGUAAUGAGGAGGUUCGACUCCUUUUUUCGGCAAAUCAGAAUUCAGUAUCCUUUCGAUUGCGAGACUUGUGGUAACAUCGUUGAUCGUUUUCUUUUGUCAUUUAUCUUUCUAUCUCUCGGCGGACUCCUUUUCGGUACAAAAGACGAUUAGGAUUUUUGAAAACAAAAAUCAGCUAGGGUUUUUCCUUGAAGCAAAAAGAGGGUUGGAGUGUUGUUUUUUUUUUAUUUCAUUCCCUCCGCUACAAAUCGGAGAUGGCAAUGUUGUCGCCAGGACGAGAUGGUGAUGUUCGAAGGUAUUUAAGAACACCAAAAAAACUUGGUAAAUAAUUAUAAAUUAUUGUGAAACUGUAAACCGUGAUUAUAUUAUAAUUAUAUCGAUUCUUCCGAUUGAUGAUUCAGAAUCAGACCGUCAUGACCGGUACCUGCCAUUAUUUUUCGAGGAUUGACUUAGGGAGCAAUGUUGAUGCAGAAAUUUUCAGGAUUUAUUUUAAACAGGGAUUCUUUGUAUCGUUUCAAUUUUAUCGGAUGCCCCUGAAAAGAUUCAAACGGAGAUUCUAAUGCAGCGCACGUGUUGACUGAGAAAGUCUCCAUAUCUUCAGUCAGAAUAGAUUCAAGAGGGUAAUUAAAGCUUAAAAUCCUUCAGAUUUCGUUGAAGAAUGGAUCAUGACGUACGAUUUUUAAAAAAAAAACCACAAGACUGAAUCAACCCACCAAUAAUCGUAAACGAAAAUGGAAAACCCAAGGUGAUCUCAGGUUCUAACGUCAACAAAAUUGACUUAAUAAUUAGCCUAUUUGGAACGGUUGGUUUCGAGAAUCUUAAUAAUAUCGUUUGAAAUUCAAUUGAUAUCUUUUACAUUUGAACUAUAUAUAUUCAAAUUGGUGAGUAUGUUUGGUAAAGACAAAUUAUAUUUUUAUAAAAAAAUUGAACAGCACAAUUGAACCGAUGGUACAGCUUGAAAUUUACUUGAUACAUUUCCCAUGUGAGUAGUAUUUUGGAAAAAUUAGCUGACCAUUACUAAUGUAUAGAUCCGAUAUAAAAUCUGAUACAUAUUUUUCGAAAUAUAUUUUUUGGCCUAAAUUUUAAUUUCCGGGCGUAUGAUUUGGUUGACUUAACCGUUAAUUGUUAAAAUGACAUAAAGAAUGGACGGCAUGAAGGAGAGAAAAUAUUCAUUGGCGUAAGACACCACGUUAGCAAACCAACACCACUUCAUGAGGUGGGUAAAAAUAUUCGUUGACCUUCUGUUUCUCUCCUUCGUCACCCAACUUUCCCCUCCCCUCUUCUUCCGCUCUCCGUCUUCUAUCGAGUUCCGCCGUCAAACCAACCCCACCCCACACCCCCCCCCCCCCCCCACCCCCCCCACCCCUCUCCCUCUCGAACCUUCUUUUCUUUAUGUCGCGAUCGUUCUUGCAGUAGACCAUAUUAGAGGACGGAAAGGCGGGGAUAGGAGGAAGAAGAGGAGUCCGAGUUGGGAAAUCACCCAUUUUCCUCUGCUUCUUGGAAAUGAGAGACGCAGACGACUCCGACUCAUCGCUGUCGCCACCGCCAAUAUCGACGAACGAUUUCUUAUCAUGGACGAUCCUCAAUAGUUGCUCGAUAAUCUUGAGCUUGGUGAGGCUGGCGUAUUUCCUCUCAUUCCCCAUCUAGGAGCACAAAAUUUGAAGAAUGUCAUGCCGACUCCACGCCUGGAGCAUUUCCACAGCAUCCGGUUGAUCGAACAGCUCAUAGACUAGCUUCGUCUUUUCUUUCAUGGUUAAUUUUCAGUAAUUCGAGAAAUCCAUCGAAGGAAAGUCCAUCUCUUUGUUGAAUAGACCACGAAUCAAAGAAACAUAAAAUGUGGGAUCAUGUGAUUGAUUGCCAUAGGAUAGAGAAAAAUAUUUGAGGUUGAGUGAUGUGAAAGGAAAAAUUAAAUAUGGUACAGAUAGGGGAAGAAAAAGAUAUGUAAGUGGGCUAUGAGGAUAUAGGAGGUGGCGAUGACGGUGGUUGUACCUAACUUUGAUAAGGAGGGGGGUGGAGGAAGGAGAAGACGACAGCUUUAACCUAACUUUGAUAUCGGGGUGGAUCCCAUUCAAAUAGCAUUUAUUAUUUUUUGCAAUUUGUUUGAUUUUUACUUUAUUCAAUAAUGCAGAUCAAUUUAGAUCACUCAUUUUUUAUACUGUACAUUCCACUAUAAUUCAACACACCCGCAUCCAUCUAAAUAGACCAUGUUAUUUACGGAGUCAGCAUUCGUAACGCGUCCGUUAAGUUUGACCAGUCAACGGUUAUGGAAUUUGAAAUCUAGGCUAAAAAUAUAUCAUGCAAAACACAUGCCAGAUCCUGUGUCGGGUGUAUACGUUAGUAAUUGUUUAAUGAUUUUUUUAGGAUUUUUUCAAAUCGACCGGUAACUUUCAAAUCCUUCAGUAAAACUAAUGAAAGGUACAUUCAUAAAUAUGAUAUAGAUAAUAACCACUUUACAUUAUACAACAUUUGCAUAACGAGUAAGAAAUAAUAAGCCUAAAACAUAAAAAGAAAAACACAUCUUGAGACUAAAACAAGACGCAUCACAAGUUCGUACAAACGUAACCGCAUCAUCGAUCACAACUUGGUUUUGUACCAGUACACUCCUCUUUUGUUCUGAUCGGAAUCCGCAUCCUCAUCUUGCUCGACAUAAACACAAUGCUUCAUCUCCCUCCACAACGCCUUGUAGAACGGUGUCGGAUCAGCCUGGUAGUACUCCCCCAGAACCGGAAUGAACGCCUUGGUCGCUUCCGAUUGAUGGUAAUGAGGCAUAUGUGUGAACAAAUGGUGCGCCACGUGAGUAUCUGUCACGUUAUGCAACACCUUGUUCAAAAACCCAUAGUCUCUAUCCACAGUCGUCAGCGACCCCCUCAUCCAGUCCCACCCCGAAGAGUCAUAGUGAGGUAAGUUCAAAUGCGUGUGGUGCAAGUAAGUGAUCGUAACAAACAAAGCAUUUUGUAAAACCAACGGAAUAAAAUACACACAAAGAACCCAACCGACUCCAUAUGCCACUGAGAGCUUGUAGAGCGUGAACCACAUGGCGAGCAUUCCAACAUCGGAGAGGAAUAUCCCGAACCGCUCGUGAUCCUCAUAGAUCGGCGACAUGGGGUAGAAAUGGCUGGCGAAUCCAUCCUUGUACGGCCUUCCAGUGAUGUUGAACAUCAAGUAUAGUGGCCACCCGAGGGUCAGAGUGAAAACCACGUAGAAGAUCCGCCCCGGUAGGUGGUCGAGGUACUUGAAGUGCCAGACGAUAUUGUCUUUGGUUUUCGGGACGAACGACUCGUCGCGUUCUAGAGAUCCGGAGUUGGCAUGAUGGCGGCGGUGGCUGUGCUUCCAGGAGAAAUAAGGAGCAAGGAGGAACGAGUGGAUGAUAAAACCGACAGUGUCGUCAAUCCACUGAUAGUCGCUGAACGAAUGGUGGCCACAAUCGUGACCCACCAUCCAUAAAGCGACGAAGAAGCAACAUUGAGCGGCCCAGUAGAGGGGCCACGCCACGUAGGAGAGAGGCUUGAGGAGGAGGUGGAAGUAUGUGUUGGCGAUGUGGUAGAGGAAGGUGAUGACGGUGAGGUCGUAGGCUAGGUAGGCGAAUGAUUUGACGAGGGAUCUUUUGAAGCAGUGCGGCGGUACGGCUCUCUUGAUGUCGGCGAGGGUGAACGGCGGUUUUGACAGCGGCGGCCGCUUCGUGGUGGUUUUGUUGUUCGUGGUUCUGUCGGAGGAUACCAUUUUUGAGUGGUUUUGUGGAAAAGUCAACGAUUACUCUGAACAAGAAAGGGGAAUGGGUUGUUUUCUAUAAUGUGGCAUGAGGAGGAGGAGAUGCGCCUAGAUACUUUAAUAGCUUGGACAAAAUCAUUUUAGCCGUCAGAUGUCAUUAUUUUAUUUUAUUUAACGGUUUGGAUUCAUAGGACAUAAAUAUUAAAAUGGUAAUACACUUGGUCUUCAUCUGAUUGAUAGUUUAGUUCUCUUUGAUGAACCGGUUUGUUCAAUGUAGUGAUUCCAGGUAAGUUUUAACCUAUGGGGUAAGGCGUAUAUCUAAGAGUACUGGGAAGCAGAAAACUAUCUCGGAAGUCCAUCGUCUGCUCGCUCGUCAGCAAUCAAUGAAUGAAUCCCAACCUAAAAUGAUAACCAAGGCUUCACCUUUGCUUAUUAGGCAAUCAAUGAAUCAAUCUAAUUGGUAAGUGGGGAGAGCGUGGAUUGUGGAUGCAGCAACGAUGGCAAGGUGAGAUCAGAGGUGAAGGUUGAAUUCGUGGAUGUGUGGGUGAAGUUUUGGCUGUGGGAUGCGGCAAAAUAAAUUGAAGAAGAAUUUUUUAUAUCGGGUAGGGUAUGGGUAUAGGUAUGGGGCGGGGUACCUAAACCCAUCCUCGAUCCGUCUUCGAUUAUUUUUUGUGGGUAUCGGAUAUUCCCCAUUUCGACUGAAUCGAAUAGGGUCAAAUAUUCGUAGGUACAGAUAUUAUUGCCAAGCCUAGUCUAAUCUUUGAUGAUGGAGGGUGACAAUCUCUUCGGAUCUGAAGCAUCCUGGGCCUAGCUAGUUGGGUCAAACCUGGGCUCAUUACCGCAUAGCUCAUCAAUUCAGGACCACAUAUUCCACAUGUCUACCUAAUUAGUUUUAAUUAAUACUAGAAUCGAGCCAGAAAUUUAUUUUAGAAGGUGCUAAUUAUAUUGAUGAUAUACAGUUUUAAUAACAUACUCACAACGAAAACUAUUUUAAUUAAUAAUAUACUUAUCCUAAUUAACAUAUUAACUCCAAAAAAAACUAUAUACGAGUCUUAGACUAAAAGCUUCUCAUAUAUCACGUUCUAUGAUAGAUCACUAAAUUAUUAACAAGAAAUUCAUCAUACAUUUUAUAUGUGUAAUCUAAUUUUCAAUAUCUUCACUAGGGAAAAUAUAUAUUCACCAGUAACAAAUAAGUCAAAUUCGUCUAUCACUAAAAUAAUAAUUUUUUGAUUUUUUUAUCUUUACUAAGUUUUGACACAGAAUAAAAUAUAUAUAAACAGUAUAUAACAUCACCAAUAACUAUUAUUAAAAAAACCCAAUGAAUUCACUUAUCUUAGGAAAUACUAAGUAUUUAUAAAUGGUUCUUGAUUCCCCUACAUACUACAUACGUAGUAGGUUACGUAAGUUGUCAGGGCCGCCAUGGCAUCCCCAACCAUACAUGUAGCUUCGUCCCUACCUAGGAUAAAUUUUGUUAUUAUCAUUUCACAAUAUAAUAUCGUCGUAUUUAUAACUAUUCAACGACAUAACACAACAUUUGCAUAACGACUGAAAAAUAAUAAGACUAAAACAUAAAAGAAACACACAUCUUCAUACUAGAACACGACAUAUCACAAGUUCGUACAAACCUUUACCACAUCACAGCUUGGUUUUGUACCAGUACACACCUCUUUUGUUUUGGUCGGAAUCUGCAUCCUCAUCUUGCUCGACAUAAACACAGUGUUUCAUCUCCCUCCACAAUGCCUUGUAGAACGGUGUUGCAUCAGCUUGGUAGUACUCCCCCAAAACCGGAAUGAACGCCUUGGUAGCUUCCAAUUGGUGGUAAUGAGGCAUAUGCGUGAAUAGAUGGUGCGCCACGUGAGUAUCUGUCACGUUAUGCAACACUUUGUUCAAAAACCCGUAGUCUCUAUCCACUGUUACCAACGACCCCCUCAUCCAACCCCACCCCGAAGAGUCAUAACGAGGCAAGUUCGGAUGCGUGUGGUGCAAGUAAGUGAUCGUGACAAACAACGCAUUUUGUAAAACCAGUGGAAUAAAGUACACACAGAGAACCCAACUGACUCCAUACGCCAUUGAGAGCUUGUAGAGGGUGAACCACAUGGCGAGCAUUCCCAUGUCAGAGAGGAUUACUCCGAACCGCUCGUGGUCCUCGUACAUAGGCGACAUGGGGUAGAAAUGGCUGGCGAAUCCGUCCUUGUACGGCCUUCCGGUGAUGUUGAACAUCAAAUAGAGAGGCCAUCCUAGGGUUAGAGUGAAGAACACGUAAAAGAUUCUCCCCGGUAGGUGGUCGAGAUACUUGAAGUGCCAUCUAAUUUCGUCUUUGGUCUUGGGGACGAAAGACUCGUCGCGUUCUAGAGAUCCAUUGUUGGCGUGGUGGCUGCGGUGGGUGUGCUUCCAUGAGAAGUAAGGGGCGAGGAGGAACGAGUGGAUGAUGAAACCGACGGUGUCGUCGACCCAUUGAUAGUCGCUGAAUGAAUUGUGGCCACAAUCAUGGGCCACCAUCCAUACCGCGACGAAGAAGCAACAUUGGGCAGCCCAGUAGAGGGGCCACACCACGUAGGAGAGAGGUUUGGGGAGGAGGUGGAAGUAUGUGUUGGCGAUGUGGUAGAGGAUUGUGAUGACUGUGAUGUCGUAGGCUAGGUAGGCGAAUGAUUUGACGAGGGAUCUUUUGAAGCAGUGUGGCGGUACGGCUCUCUUGAUGUCGGCGAGAGUGAACGGCGGUUUUGACAGCGGCAGCAGCUUCGUGGUGGUUUUUUUGUUCAUGGUUUUGUCGGAGGAUACCAUUUUUGAGUGGUGUUACGUGGUUUUGUGUUAUGCGGCAUCAAGGAGACAGAUUCUUCUCAAAACAAUCAAGGAGAUGGAUACUUUAUAAUAGCUUUGACAAAAUCAUUUCAGCCGUUAGAUGUCAUUAUAUUAUUUUAUUUAACGGUUUAGAUCCCAUCACCCUCUAGUAAUUACCGGAGCUCCUCCGAUCCCAGCAGCCCUCAGCAUCAGUCUGCCACCGACAAACUUCGGCCGCUGCAGGCGGGUGGUCCGUGUACAGAGAGUGCAUGUUUUUAAAAAAUAUGCACAUGUAUUUUAGUACAAGUGUGUUUCCACGUGUACACGUAUGCCAUGAGAACAAAUCGUAUGCGUAUACAAAGUCAUGUAUAUAUACAUAUGUACAAAAGUGUGCACAAAUAUGACAAAACGAGUACGCCUGAUAAAAUGAGUACAUAGGAGAGUACACAGGUAUCAAAUUUUAUGAGGUUAGAGUACCUUUUUUAUAUAUUAAUUGUUAGGAUAUUUUUUAAUUGUUAGAUUAUUGUAUUAAUUAUUUGACGGUUAGAAUUACUAUUUAAUUAUGAUUUUGAUUAUUUCAAAAGACUAAAUAUAUCCAAUCUAUUUAUAUUCUGCAAUCAAUUUUUAACUGAUUAUUUAUGUUUUUUUUAGAAUUAAUAAUCAUUUCUUCUCAUUUAAUGUAUUAUAUUUAAGAUAAUUGUUUAUUUUAAUUAUUAUUUUCUUUUUGAUUUCAUCUUUUUAACGUCGCCAUCUUUCUUUUCCGAUGAUAUCUUUUAAUUCACUCUUAUAAUAUGUGUCUAUUUUUUUUACUGCUUUACCACAAAAAGGCAUACACAAUUUUUCAGGAUUGAAUUUUUGAAUUGGAAAUCACAAAACAAUGCAUUAUACCAACAAUUCGUAGACAUUCUUACACAAACCAAUUUUACGAAUUAGUUUCAUAACACUACUUACUUCAGAAUCUUUAAACAUCUUAAACUCUAAACUAUUUUCCAAAAUAAUCUUUAAACAUCUUAAACUCUAAACUAUUUUCCAAAAUUCUUGCAUCUAGAUCUAAGGACAAAAUGUAUAAAAAAAACAAACUAAUACAACACCCUUUUCUAUCACUUCAUGCAUGAGUUUCCAUGAACACGAUACUUCCGCUGAUUCCAACAAUAGUCCUUUUUACACCACUUAAUUUUCAUUUCAUUUUGAAUAACAUGUUUCUAGCAAGUUGAGCUGGACCUGGACUCAUUAGUUCGAUAUUAUUCUACAUAUCCACCUGAUUAAUUUUAAUUAUUAUUAGAACCGAGUUGAAAGUUUAUUAUCUAAACAUGCUUUUCAAUAAUAGAUCAUAUUCUUUUGGUACAUGAAAAUAAAUGUUUCAAACCGUUUGAAAAUUUUAAUGGUUUAAUAACAUCAAAUCGAAGGUGUUUAAAGUGAUGAGGUUCUUCUUACAAAUUGGAUAGUCCGAUUCAGUCGCUUUGAUUAAUAAUACUGGGAGGUUAUGUACACUAAUAAACGAAGAUGGGAUGAGAGAUUUGAAUCAGUCAAAUUCUCAAAUUAAAGCUCCUAAAUCAUACAUUAGGUGAAUAUUUGUUAUUUUGUGUUGUUAUUUCCCCCAAUAUUAUAACUGGGUGAUAAAAUAAACCAAUUUGAUCUACCCCCAGGGUGUAUUCUAUUUACUAAUAUACUGAAAAAUUAACAAAUAAAUUAUAUUAAUUAAUCUACUGAAACCCUGGAAGACCAAAGACCAUGGACCUGAUGGGUGGCGGCUCAGGAUUAUUUUGGACAUAUGUGCAGUCCCGAAUUCCAAAUAGUUUUCAUUGAUUUUGAUGGGGUGACGGCUCAAAAUAAAAUAUCCUAUCUCUAAAUCUUAAUUCAAAUUAGAUUCAAGACUACAAUUAAUUAAGAAUCCCAAAGACCAUGGAUCUGAUGGGGUGACGGCUCAAGAUGCAAAAUUCAUUCAGAUUGGUCCAAAGGACCAAAACCCUGAAAUCUAAUGGCUCACGAUCAUUCCAAAAAUCUUGAAAGUUGUGCUCUCCUGAAUCCAAACAACUCUUAUGAAUCUGAUGGGGUGGCGGCUCAGAAUCCUAUCUCUUUAUUAUUAUUAUUAUAAGCCCCCAUAUCUUAUUUGAAAUUAGAUUUAAAGCCGAAAUUAAUCUUCACAUCGUUUCUGUUUGUUUUUUCCCCAUAAAUUCAUUUAGUUUCGUGUCGAGUCUAAUGUUAGUUUUUGUGAUUAUUGGUUUUAAAAGAGUUAUUAGAAAAUUGAGGAUGCGAAAUACGAUAACUAGUAGGGUUAACUACUUCUCACUUGCUAUCAUGUGUGGGUAGCAUUUCCAACAUUAUCAACUCAUAUGUCGUACGUAAAUUAUUGCUAUCAUUGAUUCACCAAUGUACUUGGCAGUUGCCAUCACUCGAUUGAGCAUUCAUUUAUAAAUCUUAUUUGAUUAUUAAAAAUUAAUUAAUUAACCUAUCAACGAAAAUGACGCCCUACUUGCUUCCAUGCGAUCUCACGUUUUUGGGUCUACACAUAUUGAAAAUGGAACUUAUAAAAAAAAAUUGGAAAUUGAUUUGGCCUAUUAAGAGAUCAGGGGGUUGGUUCCGAGAAUCUUGAAAUUUUGGUUAGAUCGGUUUGGUUUUGUAAAAAUAAUUAAGAGAUAAGCGUUAGCAUGGUGUGAGGAAACACAAUAUAUUUAGACCAUUUGAUUUGUGUGUAUGAUGCAAAUAAACGGUAAGGAGCAAAGGGUAGAUUCCAUUAUUAUCAUUUCACAAUCCGGUAUCGUGGUACAUACAACCCUUUGUGGUUAUAUAGCGACUAAUUGAAAAAUGGUAAGACAAAAUAUCAAAACAUAGACAUAAACAAAAACUUCUUCAAGCUAGAACAACACGUACAUCACAAGUUCAUACAAAUGCGAAGAAGAACCGAAAAGCAGCUGGGACACAAGACGCAUUUACAGCUUGGUUUUGUACAACAUAAACACAAUGCAUCAUCUCUCUCCAAAGCGCCUUGACAAACGGCGUCGAAUCAACCUAAUAGUACUCGUCCAAAACCGGCUUGAUCGCAUUCGUAGCCUCUGUCGCAUGGUAAUGAGGAAUCAUCGAGAAUAGAUGGUGCACCAUGUGAGUAUCCGUAAUAUGAUGCAUCACCUUGUUCAGUGGGAACCCAUAGUCCCUAUCCAUAGUCAUCAACGCACCCCUCAUCCACUCCCACUCUGACGAGUCAUAAUGCGGGAGUGAAAGAUGCGUGUGAUGCAAGUAAGUGAUCGUCACAAGCAAUCCAUUCAUCACCAAUAGCGGGACCCAGUACACACAAACAACCCAACUCAGUCCGUUGACCACGACCAACUUGUACAAACCAAACCACGUGGCAAGCAUCCCACCGUCCGACAAAAGUAUCCCGAAUCUCUCCCGGUCGUUGUAGAUCGGGGAGAAAGGAUACAAAUGGCUAGCGAAUCCGUCGUCGUAUUCCCUCCCGGAGAACGUUGAACAUCACGUAGAGAGGCCAGCCGAGAGUUAGAGUGAAGACCAAGUAAAAAAGAUGCCCCGGCGGGUUGUCGAGGUACUUGUAAUGCCAGCUGAUCUCCGAUUUCUUCUUCGGGAUGUAGCUCGUCGCGUUCUAGAGAUGCCGAGUUUGAAUGGUGGCGGCGGUGGCUGUGCUUCCACAAGCAAAGGGUAAUUACAGUAUUCCGACGAUUUUUUGGUAGUACUCAUAAUUGAAGGUUAGAACUCAAACAUUAUAUCUCAAUUUGAUUGAGGGUGUGACUAACAUCAAGAAGAAAAAAGUGGAGAAUAAAUUCGCAACAAACUCCCCAAAGAUUGAUCCCGCCAAUAACAUAACAGAUUUACCAUUUUCCAACAUGUUCAUUGUUGGAUUUGUGUACGGAGAGUGUGUGUACAUAGGUAUAAAAAAAGUGUAUUCGGGUAACGGAAAAACACCAGUGUUCACGCAUGUACGCGGUGACGGAAAAAAGCAAACAGCUUAUCAGUCGGAAUACCAGUUUGACGGCCACUGUCUAAAAAGAACCAAUGAUAGACAUUGCCAGUGGUUAACUACAAAAACAAACACAUAUUUCCGGCCAGAGAACAAAGGUAUACGUUUGGCGAAAUCUUUGGGGUUAUCAGUCGGAAUUGGAGGAUUCGCAGCAGAAAAAUCUGAGCUGGGUGGCGAUGAUAGCCGGAAAAGAGUGUCUUGUGGUUUUAUGAUUAUUUGGUUUUUGGCUUUUAGCGGCCGUAUAUUAUAACUUCCGAUUCUAUUCGCGACGGCGAGUGUCAUCUUGUGAAGGUGGGCGAUUUAAUCCUCUUUUAAGUUUCUCUUUUCGUAGCUAGUUUCUUAUGGCAAAAACCAAGAUAACAAUAAAAAAAUUUAAAAUAAUUAAUUUUUUUUUGAAUGAUAUGAUUGGUCUUGACACGAUCCAAAAAUAUGAAAAAGUUUAUCUUGAUACUCUAUGAGUAGCUUUGUUAACAUCAUAUGUAUGUGCUUUCGAUUUUAGUUUGGAUUUUUAGUUGUUUCCCACCACAUGUAUACAAAAAAGUAAGUUUAUUUAAAAAAAAUCAACAUUAACCUCACACCAAGUAAAAUUUAUUUUUAACUUUAUUUGGCUAUUAUUUACAAGGAUUAUAANNNNNNNNNNNNNNNNNNNNNNNNNNNNNNNNNNNNNNNNNNNNNNNNNNNNNNNNNNNNAUUUUAUUAUAUUAAAUUUUUUAAAUAAUAGUUAAAUAACAUUAUUAUUAUUAGUGGGAUGUAAUCACGGAACUAUCGAGAAUAAUAGUUAAAAGUAUUCGUAGCUAGCUAGCCAGCCCAAUAAGUAGUUGGGUUCUGUAAAGUUUCAGAAGUCAAUUUGGUGGGCUCUUUGUCCGGUCGGCCAGCGAAAAUGCUGUUCGACCCAAAUUGAUUUGACCCAUCUGCAAACAUCGCGAAGUUCCCUUUUCUGGGCUAACUAGAGGCCCCAAAUUAGCAACCAGCGGUAUCCUCAAGCCGUUAUUAUUCUAAAAAAUCGACCUCUCCGUCACCGUUAGUUUUCGGGUCGCCACAAAUCGCACAGCUGGCUUGCCACGUACACAGAAACAAAACAAAAAAACUACCCUGCUUAUCCUAUCCAUCCGCCACCAACACGUGGCCAAAACUUAGCCCAAUGAACCGUAACUUACUGCCACGUGUCCACAAUAUUAACACGUGUCGUAAGAGCAAAAGCUUUCGCGGAGCGCUUUUCCCGAUAUCCAGCUCCAUAUAAACAAAGCAUUUGAACUUUGAUGUCAAACGGUUCAUUGCACACAGCAAACAAGAACAAAAGCAAACACAGAGGGAAAGUUUAAUCGAAUCAACAAUGCAGUCCAUGAAGGAAACCGCUGCCAACAUCGGCGCAUCUGCCAAGGCCGGCAUGGAGAAGACCAAAGCCGUCGUUCAAGAGAAGGUAAAUCAUAAUGUUCCAAUAAAAUUUGCAGGAGCCAAUCGCAUGAUUAUUAUCAAUGGAGCGUUCCAAUCGAACACAUGGUGUGCUUUGCAGGUUGAGAAAGUUUCGGCGCACGAUCCGGUGCAGAAGGAAAUGGCGAGGGAGAAGAAAGAGCAGAGGAUUGCUGAGGCUGAGGCGAUGAAGCACAACGCUAAAGCGCACAACGCCGCGGCGAAGCAAGGAGGGCAAGUCCUCGGCGCUGACUACACCACCGGCUCUACCGACUACAUCACUCCUGGACACCGUCAGGGAACAGCCACCACCGGGGGCGGAGGGAAGUACAGCACAGGAGCUAACGACUACAACAUUCUUGGACGGCUACGGGACAGGGCAGACCCACGGUGGUGGUAUUGUGGGAGAGGCGGUGUCGACAUUGACCGGCGGGCACCACGAUCAUCCGGCCGGGGUCGGGGCCGGGACCCACCACAUGCCAGGGCAGCAGCACGGUGGGAUUGUGGGAGAGGCGGUGUCGAAGGUUGCUGGCGGGCAUCACGGUCACCCUGUCGGGACAGGGCAGCAGCACCACGGUGGGGUUGUGGAAGAGGCAGUGACGAGGUUGACCGGCGACAAAGCGGGUUACAAUACCGGGGCGGGCGGAACGGGUUACGGGACAGGGGGGAGACUGAAUUGAUAUUUUGCAGCAUCAGCUGUGAUGCUUUUAUGUUUGUUUUGUAUUUUGGGUCUCUCUCAAGAGUACUGUUUGUCUGGUUUUCUGUAGCACUUUGGUGAUUAAAAGCGGAAUAAUCUUGCACUAAGCUCACAUAAAGUCGUCAUUUCCACAAGUAGCCAGUACAGUACCAAACAUGAACAACAAUAGUACAAAAGACUAGACAGCCAAAAUUGAACUAACCGGUUGAAGUAUUCUUGCGCAAUUCAGUAUCACCGUGAGCAAAAUGGCAUCUCUGACCAAAGCUGCAAGUUCCUUUCGUGAAAUUGUCGCAUAUCUUUGUCUUGUAAUUGCUUCCAGGAUGAUGCUUGUCCCCUGAGAAGCUAGAAGGUCUGGCAGCUUGGCCGCCACCACCUAUCGUAACAAUGUUUGCGAUUACCUCUUUCACCAUCGCGCUAGCUUGAGCGAUCUGAUCAAACGUCCCUUCUAACUCGAUGUUCCUAAGGUUGGGAUUCGUUUCAUGAUCCCUGAUGGACAGCUUGGCUCCCGUCUGCCUACAUAUCUGCUUAGAGUUCACGCCGCCUUUCCCGAUGAUGGGUCCCGCGAGGGACGCGUCAACGCUGAUUUUGGCAGUCGCUGUAUCGCCAAAUCCAACAAGAGGGGGUGCGGCGGGUGGGGGCGGCUGAUCCAUCCGGUUCAUGUUGCGACCGGGAAGAGGUCCAGGUCCUCCAGUCAUGCGAAGGUGAUUGUCGUGAGACGGAGCAACAGUCCUUCCGAGCUCCCACUCCCCGUGUGCAAAAUGGCAUUUGUCGCCGAACUUGCAUCCUUCUGCGGAGUUGUAUUUGUUGCACAUGCGGUUCUUGAUUGCAGGUGGAUUAGCAGCAGCACCGUUCGAGACCGAUUGCGGUGGUGGUGGCAUGUUCAUGAUUUGUUUCAGCGUGGGGGUGGCGGAUGAUGACCUGUUCAUGAUUUGGGAAACGGCAUUGUACCCUCCAGGAACGUAGUGCUGAAAGUGGCAGCCGUCCCCAAAUGGACACCCAGCAGUACUGCAUUUCCAGAUAUCAUAGAAAAAAAUCGGUCAUUUCAAAACAGAAACAUGAAACUAACCAUUCCAAGAUCCAUGCUUUACGACUCUAAUGAAGUAAAAAACAGAACAAUGAGCUGUAAAAAUGGAAACUCAAUCAAAGCUGUUGAAAAGCAUAUCAGAUAACAUAGAGGCAUCAUAUACUGGCAACCAAUGCAACCCAGAAUGGAAAUAUCAGUUCCAUUGAUUACAGAUUAGGACUAGAACAAACAGCCAGAAGCAAACCUGUAACAUCUUACCAUGAGAAACCACACCAAUAUAUGAGAAUUUGUAUGAAUGACCAUUUUUUCAUCUUACCAGGCAUACUCAGUUUCGGUUAUGCAGCAUACCUCACAUAGUUAUUUUACAGCAUCUUACCAUUACGAAGUGACAUUGGGUACUAAAUUCAAGUUAAGCACUUUGAGCCACAAUUAUUGAAUCAAUCAAAAUUAUUACUGUGAUACCAGCUCUUAUCCAAGCAUACACACAACUCCGAAUAAUUAAACUUAUUUAACUUGAUUUCGACGAUGACAGAGUUACGAGAUUUGUACCUGUAAGUUGUACGAUACCAAUUACAUUAGAACAGCAUAAAACUUCAACUUUUAUGAGUAGUGAAUUAACUUUUUCCAGUAACUUUGCAAGGAUUAACAGGAAUUCAAGAUAAUGUUUUUAGGCGGAGAAUAAGAUUAUAACCUGAAAAACUUGGUGCAUGGCUUCGAUUUGCUUCCUACAGCGGUUGAUAACGGGUCCAUUUCUGUUAACAAACAUUCAGUUGACUUUCCUCAGUUGAAGGGUUUCCCAGAUUUUUAAACCUCUUCCAAGAUCAUUGCAGGCUUAUCUCUACUGAAAUUUUCUUUAGUAAAUAAUAACGUUAUCUGUCAAGUUAUAGAUAAGCAUUCCAUAUGUUUUACGAACUCAAAAGCUUUAUCUCUGCAAGACUGCUACUUAAAGAUUUGAGUGACCGUGUCAACUAGUUUUCAUGGUUUGCCUACAAUAAGAGCCACUCUGUUUAUGACCAGCUGGUCUGAGGUAUUUCGUAUUCCUACACUACUAAGCAAAAAAUUCCAACUUUAGAGCAACCACAAACAUAUACAGAGAAGCUAUAGCCCUCAGAGUAGCUAAAAAACAAUUCAACAGCGUAAUUGAAGUUCCUAUAGUUGAGAUAUCCUGCCAAAAAGCUUGAAAAAACUUACCGGGUCUAGAUUUCUUGAACCCGCCAUUGUAUUUGUUGACGGCGCCAUCAGGCCUCGCUCUCUUCCUAGCAUCCAUUGUGCAGUUCAGAUCCAGAAACGAAAGCAACCCAACAACCCGAAGCGAAGUCUGAACUCUGAAUUGAAAGAACAAGUAGCAGAGCCUAGCUUUACUGUGAAGAGAUAAGGAGGUGGGGAAGAUAGGAUUAGAGAAGGAACGGGAAGAGUUGGGAUGGACGAGCAGAUAAUGGUUUAUUGGUUCGUGAUAUUUUAGGGAUUUUUUGGUGUUGUGGGAUUGGGAGAUUCAUAAAUCAAUUUUUCCAUUUCCGCAAUUGUUUGGGUGGAAUUGGAGGAAUUAGGGUUUUGAUUGGGGAAGAUGAGUUACUUUUCUGGAUUCGGCGCCACUAGAUGGGAAAAUUGCUGUGGAGGGAAACGGAAAAGGAAAAAAAGAAAAAGAAAAACGAUAUUUGGUGAGCUGUAUUUCCACGUGAAGAAUCUGACGACAUCACGGAUUAAACAUUUUCCUAAACUAGGAUGUUAUUUGGGCUGGGCGCCUCUUUUCUUUUCCAGGCCCAAUAUCUUAUUGGUCCGAUAAAUGGUAUUUCAGCCCGUUAUCGGAAUGGGAAAAUAUCAAUAUAACUUUCCUAGAACCUAGAUGUUUUUUUAUGGUAAAGGCAUACGUGCAUCCUAUUUCAAGAUAAUGGGUAAUUUGUGUACGAGAUAGUAAUUUGAGAGGUGUAAUUUAUAAAUCGGGUUAUAAUAAAAAACUCUAUCUACAACGUUGUUACAAAUCAAAAGAAACUACAAAAGGAGUGCCAAUAGACCACCCGACAGGUACAUAAAACAAGAAAAGUUUCUCACCGAUGCCGUGCUUGAUCUCUUCGUCGCCUGUUAGUUUCCUGCCCCUUCUCUUCUGAUCUUCGGGUACCUCUGUCAUCUCCUCUUCUUCGUCCUUGUUGACGUUAUCACCACCUGUAGGUUGGCAAGAGGCCGACGCCAUGGCUUCCGUUUGUUGGUGGAGAUGGUUGAGGCGGGGUGUAGGGUUUGUGGGCCGCGAGUCGCUGCACGUGUGGUAGGGUCUGAGGAGAGUGAGAUUCAGUGGCGGAGGACGGUGUAGGCGUUUGGAAGAUAGAGAGGAGAGGCGGAGAUGUGUGACGGCAGCCGCGAACAAUUGCGAGGUGAGUCCUAGCACGAGAGGGUUUAGUACGGGGAGAGCUUUUUGUACUAUAACCUCUAGAUGUUAAGUUGCCAGUUUCAUGAGAUGGUGAUCAAACACCUUUACCUUCAUCGUGGAAACUAACAGCAUUUCGUGAAUCCAACCCCAUAGCUGCAGGCUGCGGCAACUAACCCACAUGCAAGUCAAAACCCUGAAUACAAUCCCCAGAACCCAAAUCAUAAAACCAUAAACACAAACAUUUAAACCAGAUCUUCAUGACGAAAGAACAAUCACCAAAGUUUCAUUGAAAAAACAAAAGAUUUUCCAAGCUACCAGUUCUCGACCCUGAUGGAAAUCUCGACAGGUUUAACAUAUCUAUUUAAUCACAGCACAAUCUACACAAGCUCCUGACAUCUAAUCAGAACACCAGUCUUCCAUGAACCCUACGCAACACUUACAAAAUUGAGGUGAUUCAAAGAACAGAUUCAAACAUUACUUGACCAGACUCCAGAGCAUUUUAAAUUAUCAAGCACCGCUAACUCCAGCUGAAGCUCCCUGCAGAGCUUUCUUCAGCUCUUCACUCACAUCCUCUUCCACUGAAGAACCACUCUUCUCAUUCUGCUUCCCACUCGAGUUCCAUGCCCUGUUCCUAUCCGAUUCUCUGUACCUGCUGAAGCUGGAUUCUGGCGAUGAUGGUGGCAAAAGGUACUUGCUUGAGCUAAACUCUUGUCUCAGAUCGUCCAUGGCUUUCCUCAGCUGCGAAUUCUCAAACUGCAGAGUAUCCAGCUGUUGCUUCACUGUCAAGCAAGUCUCAGCCACGUCGUCCUUCGCUUUUGCAGCGGCGGUAGCCUUUUCCGAUUUUGAAUAAGUUUGGUAGACGUGCUCGAUGCCUAUCUUGUUCAUCACGAGGAAAGGCAUCUUCCUGAAAUUGAUUGCUGCGGCCAUCGAGUCGAGCCCCUCGGCCGGAACCCUAAGCCCCCAUCGGAAGCUCAUCAGGGCGUGACUCCUCAAGGGGAAACUCGUGAUUGCUGUGACUUCGACGCCGGAUAAACCAGCAGCGAGCGCAUUCGACGUCGGCGGUGGAAGACUAGUCAACUUCUUCGCGUUAAACCCUAAUCCUCCCCCGCCAAUUUCAACUCCGCCGCCGGCUCCGAUCCCGUUGAACACUGGCUUCUCCACCACAACGGCCGAUCCGUCUUCCUCUGCUACCGAAGAUUUCUUCGAAACGACUCCGUUCUGCCACUUCUCCAAAUACGACGACGUCGACUUCUUAAUCGAGAAAUCCCCAAACCUCGGCUUCAGGUGAAGCAUGAAGCUAGGGUUUCCACUCCCUACGAAAUUGAACUCCGCGCUCAUCACCAAGGGGCUCGCCGCCGAAGGCGACCCAAACGGCCCAGUACCUGUCUUGAGCACAAGCGAGAACGGAUUCUGCGAAUCGUUCGGACGGUAGGCGACCUUGAACGACGGCCCUGAUUCGAAGAAGGUUGAGAGGUUGAGAGAGAGCUCUUUACCUUCGCCGGCGACGAUCCCAGACUGGAAUGACAAACCCAUGAUGCUCAGCGGCAGGUUCGCUCGGAACAGCGGCUUCUGCUCCUCGCGGAAUUUGAGCGAGGCUUUCAUCUUCAGAAUCAGAAACCCUAACUGAUGGACUGAGGGAAAAAUUGGAGAGCGGAAUCUGCAGAGGAAGAGGGUAACCUGAAUUGCGAUGAGUGCAGUUCAGUUGGAGACGAUCGCUCCGAUUAUUUGUAGAAAGAUCGGAGCUUUAUUUGAAAUUUCGAGCUUUCCGCAGCGGAGAAUCCGCCCAAAUUUUGGCCUUCAGACGGGGGCUCGUCGUUUUCUAAUAGAGUGUCGAUUUUGCCCUUUGGUUUAUUGUCAUGAGCCCAAGCCGGUUCGAGAAAAGCUCAUUCGUUAUUCAGCUUGACAUUAAACGAGUUAAGCUUGGUUUAGGAUAUUUUUGACUCGAUAAGUUAGUAAGCCAGUUCGAUAAUAAACUUUUUGUUUACUAGAAUUUACGAAAUAUCAUUGAUCAUGAUUAACUGUUAUAUCAUCCAAUUUCAACUGAUUAAUCAAUAAAAUCGAUGAUAUAUCAUACAAACAAUAUAAUUUUUCAAUGGACAUUGCUACCGAUCAUAAUAUGGACAUCCAUAUUUGCUUCACGGCUACAAAGUCACCGGGUUUAGUUGUCAGAACUUGCUAGGAGGCGAUCAGUGGUUCUGUAGAUAAUAUCCAACUCUAUGUUAUCCUCUUCCGCUUGAUGCAAAUCCUGUAUGGCAACGAGGCAUGAAAGUUGGACUUGGAAGGAGAUGGGUGUAAUUGAGAAGAAAAUGAAGGGUAAAGAGGAUGAGAUUUCAGGAUUAGGUUUUAAUCAUUUGCUGAGGUGGCGGCCCUACAGCCGUUUAUUUUAACUGGUGAAGUUUUUGUUUUUCUUUGUUUUCUUGACCUCUUCUGUUUUAGUUUGAAUUUUGAAAAAUUGUAGUAGGUUAAUCAAAUCUCAUUAUUCAACUUCAAAAUUUUGAACUUGGUUUAGAACUUGGUUUUUUAUCUGUUGCGUUCGGAGACUGCUAGUUGGAAGCAACAUGGAGAUUUGAUUGGAGGGUCGGUUCGAGAAGGUGAGUGAGAUGUUUUCCAUCUAUCCUAGCCGCUUUGUAUUGUGUCGGAUGUGUUCUUUUUGGAGGUAAGAUUUGCUUGAGGUGUAGCUUCCUGUCAGAGUGUACAUUGGUGACUUCUAAAGAAGUAGUUGGAAGUUGUUUUAUUCUUUGUUCGAUAUUGUCUUAAAUGUGGAAGAUGAGGUUGUCAUUGUUCCGACUUCCAAGUGUCGCCAUACAAAUGAAGAAUAUGUAAAGGGCAGAUCUAAAUUGUUGAAGAAUUUUAGGAUGGAUGUAUUGUGUGUGGGUGGGGAAUUUGUCCUAUGCGAAAGUGUACGCCCGUUUCUUGAUGGGACUGACUAAAGUUUGACUAAUGGUAUGGUUGGCCCUAUUCUAAACCCAUUACACUUUGAAUUGAUGAAAUGGUGGACCGCCCAGUUCGUGCGCAUAGACCGUUCCGUUCUGAAAACAGCUAGGCAAAGGUGUUCAUAUAUGAGAGACCUUUGCCUUCCGCUGCAAGAUACAACAACGAACCGACUAGGCGAUUAGAGAAAGCAACUGAGAACCCUAACCAAGAUCCCCCCCCCCCCCUUUACUCCAAACCCAUGACCGGAACCGCUGAGCACGACCCUGCACCCGCCGUCGGUGACCUGUACGACGACUUAUGACUCAAGAACCCUCCGCUCCCGAUACCUCGCCGUCCAGAAUCUCAUCCACGGUAAUUAAUAUAUCUUCCGUUACCUUGUUGGCCCGCCACGUAAUUUGUCACUCAUUGUUUCCUCUUCUCUGAGAGUGCAGAUGAGGCAGAGGAGAUCGGAACAGCAGAAUCCGACAAGUUGUCCUCGACCACCUUGACAUCCUACACAUGCGAGGUAAUUAACUAGUAAUCAAAAUUAGUCAAAGAAACCUUGAAUCCAUAUGUCUAACUGAAUUUUUUUCCUUACAGUGAACAGGCCCAGAGAGCAAGUAGCCGAUGCAGAGGCUCUGCUAGGGGUUACGAGCUCGUUGGCGAAUUGCGGAGAAAGAGUUUCUCCUUCGCAAUUCGUCGGUUUACUUCUUAAGAAAUUUGGGGCUCCUCCUCGUACAAAGGUUGGCUCCAAACAGAGGAAGGAGAUUAUUUCCGUCAACUGGAAAGAGAUCGGGGUUUCUGCCUCUCAUAUAUUCAAGAGAUUCUCUGGAAUAUCCACAAUGUAAUGUUUUGAUUUCGGAAUUCGGAAGAAUUUUGCUUGGAAAACAAGACUCUGAUUAUAUGUGUGUUCGAAAUCCUGUCAGGUUUGGCACGAAUAAUUUCCUCAAGAAGAGGAAGGUUCAUGUAUAUACGAGCAGGAGAAAACGGCGCAGUGCAGCCGCUGGGGCGGCGAAACAGGUUAGUAAUGUAAAAUUUGAAAUCUCUUUCGAAAUCGAUAUCAAGAGUGGAAGAGACACUGAUGGGUUGGGACUUUGUAUCUCUUUAGGCUGAUGAUGGUGUUGAGAAAGAGAAGAGUGGUGGAAGGAACAAUGCGUAUUAUGUUCGAUAUCCUGAGGAAGGAAAAAAGAGUGGAGCUUGAACACCUAGUGCUGAACCGGAGCUCGUUUUCACAGACGGUUGAGAAUGUGUUUGCCCUGUCGUUCCUUGUAAGAGACGGAAGGGUUGAGAUAAUUGUAGACAAAUAAAGCGGCUGUCAUCUAGUUUGUAAGCUCUCUUUUUUGCCAUGCUAGUGUUUUUUUCCAGUUAUUUGUUCCUGCUGGAUUAACAAUGGCAAUUGGCAGCUCCGAGGAACGCCCCAUCUGCAGCUCAGGUUGCCACUGGCGAAGUAUCGUACCGGCAUUUUGUCUUCAGAUAUGGAUGCAGUGAUUGGCAGGUAUGGAAAAGAAAACUACACUGGUUUUUUUACGUAAAUUAUAGUUACCUGAUCUUCGUAAAAUCUCUGCAGUUGAUGUGCUCUUCAGUUGGUGUUGGGAAGGAGCUUAUGCCAAACAGGAUUCAAGUGAAGAUAGAAAAGUAGAAUCUCAACCGUUCUUAGAAUCUCGACCCCUAAGUGUAGCAAAUGAAUCAAUUGCUUUCUCAGUUUCACCUACACAAACAAACGACCCCUACGUGCAGUAAACGAAUCAAUUGUUUUCUCAGUAUGUGUCAUUACCAAUCCAUAAAAGGUGGGAUUUUUCGAUUUCUAGCUGACGAGACAGUGCACUGGAAAAGGAAAUGUCCAACUACAGAUAUGUUCCCUAAAGCAUUCAAUUAACUGAAAUCAGUUGUAUCUAUCAAAUGUUACACAUACUUCGAAUGAGAAGCCGCAAUGGAACAGCACUUAUUGUUUCAACUCUGAAAAUGGAAAAAAGCUAGUAGAGCCUCUAGGUUUCCUUAUUAUUAGCUGUGUUUAGGCAGCUUUUGGAAUGUUGAGGUUCUCGAAAAUGGGGCUGUCGACUCCUACUCCCAUUGCGUUUAGACCAUUGUCUACAUACAGGACAGUCCCCGUGAUGGCCGAAGCCAAAGGCGAAGCCAGGAAUGCAGCAGCGUUCCCUACUUCCUCUGCAGAUAUUACAUAGUACAGAACGGUUCAGUGGUAUGUUGAAAAUCUCAAUUGAGAGGUUGAGAGCGAAUUAUUAGUCUCACUCACCUGCAGCUAGCUCUUUCUGGAGGGGUGCAUUGGCUGAUGAGUAGUCGAUCAUCAUGUCGAUGAAACCAAUUGCCUUUGCUGCCCUACUUCUCAAUGGACCUGCAGAUAUUGUGUUCACUCUGAUGUUGUGCUUUCUUCCAGCUUCAAAGGCUAGCACCUGCAUUAAACCAAAGAUAACAACUUUGAAGAGACAUUGAACUUUCCAACCGUGGUUUAAGGUUUAGGGUACACGAGGACCGAGAGAGAAUAACUCACACGUGUGUCGCUCUCCAAAGCGGCCUUUGCUGAACUCAUCCCACCACCAUAGCUGUCAAAGUAAGAUUCGGGUAUUAGAUGCAAUAGAGAUGAUUCGAAAUUCAUGACUAGUCGAAACGAGGGCAGAAGAAGCAUACCCAGGAAUGAUCUUUUCAGAAGCAAGGUAGGUCAAGGAAAUUGUUGCACCACCUGGAUUCAUUAUAGGAAUGAAGUUCUGAAGAAGGGAAAUAAAGGAGUAGCUUGAUGCAGAGAUGGCAGCAAGGUAUCCGUAUCUUGAGGUCUCGAGAAGAGGCUUGACGACCUGAUAAAGCCAAAAAAAGUUUAUAGAGCACAGAGGAUCUUAUUAGAGGAAGAUCAAAAGAUGAAGUUCGAUUGGAUAGUGAGACCUCUGGCCCGUUAGCAAGAGAGUGGACUAGGAUGUCAAUGCUGCCAUAGUCUUGUUUCACUGAUUCAGCAAGCUCCUGCAUAACGUUUCAAACAUUCAAAUACAAAAUGAAGUAACUGAUGUUUGUGUAUCAUGUCUCGACACAAGCUAUACCGUUUUAAGUUUGGAUUCAAAAAGCAGUAGGAAACUCUAAGAUGGACCGAUUUCUCAUCAACUUACUUUCUUGAUGGCUUUAAAUAAUGUCGAAUGAAAGAUGAAAAAAACAGAUAGAUGAAGAACACUGUGCAUAGUGAGCGAAGAGUACCUUAACAGUCCACUUUGUGGAUCCUGCAUACCGCUUGUUUGUUUUUAUCUAGACAAAAUGCACACCGUUAGUUAACGACAUAUUACAUAACAUUAUCAAAAUAGCAGAUGAAGUGGCCAUCAUUACAUCUUCAGGAACAUCCUCUGGACUAUCGAAAACCGCAUCCAUUGGAUACACUUUAGCAAUUUCCAUUAGAGAACCAUCUGGCAAUCUGAAGAAUAGAUACAUAAUGGACUCGUUAACAUAAGCCAGGAUAUACAGAUUCUUCAAAACUAGAUGUUUUUGUGGACAAAUUUGAAGCAAAGGAUAUAUAUUUCUUACACACGCGAUUCGUCAAACUUUCCACGUCGCAGACUGCUUUCGAAUAUGUUCAAUGCCUGAUAAAAAAAAAGAAGAAUGAUCAGUAACUGUAAACCUUAUCAAAUCCGAGGAACUUCAUCAUCGAAAACAUCUGGCUUGGAUCAGAUUACGUACAGGCACCCAUGUUCCAACAAGAAUUUCAGCACCAGCUGCAGCAAGUGAUUUUGCUAUAGCCCAACCAUACCCGUUGUCAUCAGCUAUACCAGCAAUGAAAGCUCUCUUACCUGCCAAUUAACAGCUUUUUAGAGCACUCCAACAGUGUACAUUGGAAUCUACAUCGAUAAUGAUCGAAACAUCAAAGAGAGAGUUUAACAACCUCGUAAAUCGACAGGCAGUCCCGGCAAGGGGUUAGUCUCGCUUGCAGUGGCCAUUGCUCUUGUUGUCACGACCCGGGACAUCGAAUUGCGCUUCUUCUGAAAGAAGGUCUGGCUCAAGGAGACGUGGUUCAAAGCAUCUUUGGAUCCGGUACUGAAACUUGCAGUCCUUUGCAUGAAUACUUUACGGGGCGAUGAGAUACAUGCCCUGGCUGUUGCCACACUUGUAGUAGGAGUUGCAGCUGCAGCCAUUCUUUUCUUAUUCUUUGGUUAACAAAGUUCUGCAAGAGUGAGAACACAAGGAUCAAUCAAUGAUAAGGAGUUAAAUAUGACACAAGAAACUUUGCAAGAACAAGACUUUAGAAUUCGGCAUGACCAAAUCAGUAAAAGCUAAGAUAUGAAACAUCAUUUUAAACAGAAGCAAGAUUGAACAAAGAGAGAUUCACUACUGGAUGCAGCUGAACAGCACCAAAGCCUCGAGCUUUACCCGACUCUUCAACUAAUUUCUAGCUCAGAGAUUCAAGCAUUAAACAGCGAUCCAAUAUUCACUACAGCAGAAAAACGAGAAAAAACGGAUCGAUGAAUAUCUACAAGGAGAUAGAUCAAUGCGGAGAAAUGCAAAACCCUUUAAAACCCAACAUCAUAAGGGGGGAAUCUCGAACAACGACGAGUGAAAUACACAUUACCGGACAGAUGAAGCUGGUAGCGGACGGAAGGAGAAGCUUUUUUUACCUCUGCUAUGAAAAAAUGCGGGCUGUGAAAUCAGAGGGUAUAUAAAGAAGUGUACAAUGAACUGAGAAGGGUUUCGAUGAAAACGAAGUUGGGUUCUGUUUUGUUGUUGUGUACUAGUUGGGAAUUCAAUGUCACCAAAUGGGCAAAAAGCAUCGUAAUCGCCGAGCAAAAGCAAAGCGGACCCCCUGGCACCUGGAUUGCUUCCGAAUUACCAUUAGGCACCUGUAUUUUCCCUUUCGUUCCUUUUUUACUUUCUGUUUUUCAUUUUUAUCCAUAGCUUUGUGUCCAACUUUUUUGAAGCUCUUUAAUUUUACUUAUGAUCCAUAUGGGAUAGUUCAAUUGGUAUAGUUUUGUGAUUGAUAAUUUAAAGAUUAUGGGUUUGAAUUUUGUCACAUUAUGCAUUUUCUCUUUUAAGUGAAUCUAUCGCCCUUUGUGCCUCCUCGAAUCCUUCUGUAUGGGGACAAUCAAAUAUCCUUACGGGCGGUGGAACGAACAUAUCGAGACCUCCUUGACCUCUAUGUUUUGGAACUUCUAGAUGUUUGUGUUUGGUGUUUAAUAUAUGAGGCGGACACGUAGGACAAUGUUAUGGAAUUAGCGAUGUCAUCACUUUAGAGGUCCUGACCUCCCUAACUACUUGUCAUCAUGCAGAUUGUUCAACGGUCUAUUAAUAAAGCUACCUGCUCAAUAACGCUUGAAAGACUCUUUAAUAUCUCUCAAUUUAUGUUGAAACUAAUCUCACAAUCUAAAAUCACUUUUAAAUUAUAUUUACUUGAUUUCUCUUAUCACAAAUAUUUAAUUCAUAUACAAAUACAUUCAUAAGCCAUGGGAAACAAACUCUUAUCUUCCUAAACUUCAUUCCUAUACAAUUUGAUAAUUCCUCCUCCUCCCUCCCAAACCCAAAAAGAAUCUGUUGCAGUUUAUGAACUGAAAAAACCCCAUUGCAGAAACAAUCAUUAAUCUCGAUCCUCCCUCUAGAAAUAGCACAAUCCGUUAAUUAACCCAUAUCAUCAAACGAACAAAGAAACCAGAAACCAGAAACCAGAGAACAAUAACAAAAAAAAACCCUCAUGUAAAGCGGGGGGACAAAGAACAAAAAUGGGGUCGCCAGCGUCGGAUAACUCCAGACAUUCCUCAUCAUCGAUGACACCUCCCAGGAACGCCAUGGAGUCGUCCUUCGUGUCCACUCGGGACGGGGUUGUUCUCCAUGCCCGCCUCUUCAAGCCCGCCGACGACGACGAACCCGCCGCACCCACCGCCGUCGUCCUCGUCCACCCUUACCCCAAGCUCGGCGGCUGGCCGGACAUCCUGCCAGAUCAUCAUGCAGGGCAUUGCCUCCAGGCUCUCCAUCAAGGGAUUCACCGCCAUCACCUUCGACAUGAGGGGCGUCGGACGAUCUACCGGGAAGUCCUCCGUCACCGGUAUUUUCGAAAUUGAGGACGUCGUCGCCGUCUGCACCUGGGUCUCCGAGAAUUUUCCCGUCGAGAGAAUCUUGUUGGUGGGUUCCUCCGCAGGUAAUUUGUUAUUGAUUAAAGUUAUAAACUUCGAUGUGAACACUAUAGAAAAAGAUUCUAACUUUUUGGAUGCAAUGAUUCAUAACAAACAACGAUCCAAGUAUCAAAUUUCAGUAACUCCAAAUUCAUGAUACAAGAUGGUUUAGAGUCUCAUGAUGUAAUGUGAUAAAAUCCUAUGUAAAUUAUUUCAAAAUUGAAGUUUUUGUCAAUUAUGCUCGAGUUUUACAGCGUCUCCAACCAUUUUGGUUCCUCCUAUUGUGCUAAACCGUGAAAAUUUUAGAUUUUUUCAACUGUUUCGGUUCCCAUUUGAGGCUCAUGUUAAUGAAAAUUUUAAACUAAUGUUCAACUCUCUCCCAACAACACGAGUCGUAAAGAUGUAAUGGUUGACAAUACUGUCCUUGUGGAAUGCAGGAGCACCGAUAGCAGGUUCGGCACUUGAUCAGCUGGAGAAAGUGGUGGGAUACGUGAGCAUAGGCUACCCGUUCGGGUUUGCUGCUUCGUUUUUAUUUGGGAAGCAUUACAAACCCACGUUGAAGUCCAGGAAGCCGAAGCUGUUCAUCAUGGGGAGCGCGGAUUGGUUCACCAGCGUGAGGCAGCUGAAGAGCAAGGUCAAGAGUUGCGAGGGUCGAGCCGAGAUGCAUCUGAUACAAGGAGCAGGCCAUUUCGAACUCGAAGGCCCCGAUUUCGAUUCCGCCAUUGUCAAUAUGAUUGUAUCCUUCCAUGAAACACUAUAGUGAACAUAUAAAUGUAUAUGAACUGGUAAUGAUCAAAGUAACAUUCUUUGAGUACUGGGUUUCCUGGAAAUCGCAGCACGGUUUCGAAGAAGCAUUCCCAUUGUAGAAAACACAAAAAGAAAGUGUGGACAGAGAAUGAUGAAUUAUUGAAGGCAAAAUGCUCUACACUGCUAAAAACCAUGCCAUUCUGUGCCAAUUUGCAGUAGUUGUUACAGAAAAGAUUAGACCAGUGUUUUUUUUUACCCUAAUCGUCAUCUAAACUAAUUCUAAUUAUCGACACGUCUAAUGAUGAAGAGGGAAAUAGGUCUAGUACAAGGCAGCGACGAGGGAAUUCUUCUUCUCCAACCAACCCCGACAAGUCUAAAAAGACAAACCAGAACACAGCCAUGCAAACCAUUCCGAUAUUCUACGAGAAUCCAUGAUUCCAUUCAGCUUUUGAUUUCAGCAUAUUCAGCAUAAGCUCGAUUCUCCCUGUAACUGGUUUUAGUCGUGCCUCGCUAACGUUCCAUUGGUUGACCGUGUAAGAAAUGCUGUUCUCCAUCUGAUUCAUGAAACGAAACUCGGUUUAGAAAGGUCAUAUCUUGAAAUCAUCACAAGGAAGCAAAUAACAAAGCAAAAGGUACUUGAUUGUUCAGCAAAGAAAUUAGGAUAAUCAAGAAUCAAUAACAAUGCAGUUGGUAAUAGUUCAGAGGAAAAUCAUAGCUAAAGUCCGAAAAAAAAUCAGUUGUUGCCACUAUAAUAUAACAGGAAUGGAAUGAAUGAACAUCUCUUCUCAGCUCCAGGCAAACAGAACCUAACGAGUAGGGAUAACUACAAAUAGAGAUAUAGCAAUUACCACUUUCUUCAUCAGAUGCAUCUGCAAGCCUUGCAAUUGCAUCCAUAAGUGCCUGUUCAUGCUCCUACAUCACGCAUAACAUUAGGUGAAGCCAGGAGCAUUAAACAGCAAGGGAAAAGUUUACACCGCAGGCACGAGAAUCAUUACUUUUAGCAUCAUUUUGGCUUUCUCAAGCUCAAGCGGAUCUGGUUGACUUACACCGAAAACCUUUUCAACCUGCUAAAAAAGAGUUGACAUAAGAAGUUAAGCAGAUAGCGGCGUAUAACUUGUGUCAACAACUUCCAGCGUGUCAGUACCUCUUUAACUAGUGUCUCAGUGUUCAGUAAUUCGAUAUCGUCAGAAACCUUCGCUGCAAAACCAUUGUGUGUCAGUAAAUGGUCCCUUCUGGCUGGGAACUUUGUAGAUCCCCUCAAUGGUCCUGAACUUGGAAUAAAAACACCGCGAUUCAUGGGUUUCCUAAUCGCACGACUGGCGCCACCUUGGCCACCACCGUGAUAGCUAAUUGCCGGAUCCUCUCCAUCCCAUCGUAUGUCCUCUGGUGAUAUCUGCCAUCAGAAAUAAGUAAACAUUCUCAAUAUAACAAGUAUUACCUGACAGGAAAAAAUAAUCCAAGGAGCAAUUUCGAUUAUGGAAAAAGUCAGGUACCUCAUUCAGGUCAACCCAUUCCCAUGUCUCACUUUCUGUACCUAUAUCGUACACAAGAGCAUGCCGGCCCUGCAAAUCAUUAAAAUCUAAUAAAUUCAGAUUACAAAAACAGUUUUAUCAUAUCUGAAUCAGAGUAUCAGACUGGUGAAAUGAAGAUGAGUGAUGGGCUAAUACUAUGCUAUAAUUGCUUUUGCUGUAGAUGGCUCAUAAAGAAGGUGAUAUUCAAGAUUUAAGUACAUGCCUGUGAAGAAUCAUAUUGAGUUAUGACGGCCUCAUAGAAAUGAUUGUCUUCAGGCCAUCUUGUCCACACCUUUCGUCCAAGCAGUGCUUCCGGAGGUUCAUCAAUCACAAGCGCACCAGAAGAGUUACGGGAGUUAUGGGUAGUGAAGUACCUCGCUCGAGUAGUAAAUUGAGAGGGAAGCUGCAUAGCUUUCACAGAGGAUAGAGUAGGUAGCAGCUGACUCUGCCAAGAAAAUGACAACAAAACGAAGUUAGUAUUUUGAAAAGAGAGAUUUCAUAUCAAAGCCAUGGACGUACCCCUUGAGAUGUCUUCUGUUUCUUACGAGCUGCCGAAAUGGUAGGGCUGGGUAUCAUCUCAUGAACCCUCUGCGGCACACCGAACCUGGUAGCUUCAGGAACACCUGUGGUUCUCCAUUCCCUGAUAUUGUAACCAGCACAUAAGCCUAAUACUUGGACUUACCAUAGCAUCAGCCACAUCUCAAAUGUACGAACCUAAUCCGGCGGAUGAUGUCAUCCUCAUUAACCCUGGAGAGAAGCUCUCUGUGUUCAUCAUCAGAUACCCUGAGCUCUUUGCGGAGUUCUGUAAUUAAACCCUCCUUUUCCUAAACAUUACACAAGAGGGCAGGCUAAAUGCAACAGUUUGGGGAAAAGCUUCAAACUUCACAAAUAAAACGUGUGAAGAGAAAGAGCAAUUACCCAGGUAAGAGCAUCAGAUUGAGCCUUGAAAGCACGCAGUACAGCACAGUAAGCUUCUUGCUCCAAGAGAUGAAUUUGGGCCUCCAUUGCUAAGAUGAAUUCUUGGGUAUGCGAAACAAACCUACAUAUACCGCUCCUUAUUAGAACGAUCAUCUAGCAGUACUGCAACGUUUCACUAAACAACGCAUGUAACAAUGCCUAAAGGAAAGAAUUCUAGAACCUAGAAACGCAUGUACGAGGAAUUGGUACGGAAAUCGAGUAAUUCUCAAGGAGACGGAUUCGAAUUCACCCACUCAAAACCCAGAACCCUACUUGCUUCCUCACCAAACUACACGGCAACCCACCCAAUUACCCGCCCCCCCCCCCCUUAAUGAAAUGGGGGAGAGCAAAUGGGGACGAUAACACAAUAGGAAUAGAGAAUUCGAGUGAAAAUAGAAAAGAAUAGGUCACGUACCUCCUAAACUGUGCGACUAACUCUGGAAUGAAAUGCUCAGAGUCCCUUUGCUUGCGACACUAUAAGCUGGAAGGAGUAAGCUAAGCUGAAAGAACGAAGAUGAGGGUUUUUGGAAUGUGAGAGAAAUUGAAUCUGUAGAAGAAAGGGUGAAGGAAAGAGCGGAUGAGCAGGGAGGGAAGAGAGGACUCGGAAAGUUGAAAACUGAGCGCUUUCUAUUUUUCGCAAUUUACAGUGAGUUUCUCUCUGUUUUGAUUUUGCUCUGUUUUUUUCUUCGUUAUCCUUUCUUGUCUUUUCUUUUAUAUUGGUUUCCUUUUCAAUUGGGCUUGUUCCUUGUCUGUUGGCCGAAAUAACUGGGCUGGAUUGCUGCUGAAGAUGGAGAUAGGCCCUUUUCUAUAUUGGGUCCGGGUUGGAAAAUUCUGUGUUGGGUCGGUCCUAUGCGAGCCCGGGUCUAACCAAUAAUUGGAUGAAGGUGAGCUUUGACCAUAGCCGUAGAAAAGAGGUUAAUUUGGCGCGCGUUCGGAUGAGUAAUUUGAGCAGAUAUUGAAUUUUAGGUUGAUGGUUUUAUAAUCAGUACGGAGAUGAAAGAGGUUCUUUUAGUUAGAUUUGCUUGUGAUUCGAGAUGGUUACUCUUUGAUAAAGAUGUUCGGAAACCACUAAAAUCGUGUUGGGAGUCGUAAAAUAUCAAAUUCUGCUUUUAUAUUCAUAAUGAUUGGAUAUCUUUCCUUUUCCGGUAGUGAUCGAUACCCACGUAAAACAUAUGAGUUGUGUUUGUCGAUUUUUCUUCUUUACAACUUUCGUAUAUUUUGAGAAACCAUUAUAGUCAAUAACUCAAAUGGUUGGAUUAUUAAGAUUAAUUCUAACCCUUACUUUCUUCAAGUACAAUCCAAGAUGUAUGAUUGUUAGUCUCGUGGUGUUGUAUUAUAUUUGUAAUUUCAAACUUUGACUGAAAGACUCCAGCGAAGAGUAUUAGUUGGUUAGCAUCUAUGCAAAGAUUUGAAGAUUGUCCUUUUGUUAUUGGUAUACUAUUAUUAUUAUAAAUGUAUUGUAAGAAGUCCAAUACACUAUAUACUUGCAUAUAUUAAACCCUUUCGGCGGUGCAUCUUUUUCGUUUGUGUUGUACUUUGUUGACAAAAUGGGUGCCAUUUUGAAGUUUGGUUUAUUUGAUGAUGGCUCCAAAGUGGCCAUCGGAUCGAGCCAUUGGGUCUCAAGACGAUGCCACCUAACAAAUCAAAUCUAAAGGUGAUUCUGAAGAGAAAGAGUCAUUUAUCGAAAAAUAACCAUCUGUUUAUGCUAAGGAGGAAUAACAGCGGGAUAAAGGAAGAAUAAAAAAGUAAUGACAACGAAAUAAUAUAGACGAUUAAUGUGAUUUCCGACCUUGAGGUAAACUAAUCUACUAAAAUAAUGAAAAUUUUUAUUCUUUUUGUUAAGGAAAACGAAGUCGAGCUAACACAUUUAAAGUCAGAUGGAGAACAACAACAACAAAGGUGGGAACGUGGAAGAACUGGUACAGUGGUUAUAAAAAUUUCACGUGGCUACAGAGGAUUAUCACAUGAAAGCCAGCAAGUUUUAUAGACUAAGUUAAUCACGUUUAAUCACAUAUUAAGCUAAGCUUAACAAAAGCCACGUGGAUGGAGGACUAAAAGACAAAAACCCGCGAUUGGUAGGUCCCAGAUAUUUCCCAUGUAUAUAAAUAAAUUGUUGUCGUGGAAUCUUAAAUCACUCACUCAAUUCCAGUCUACUGCCGAUCUGAUCUCGAUUUCCAGCUCCAAAAACGAAGAAGAUCAUAACCCAGAAAGAUGCCGACGUCCUGCCGUAGAAGAUCAAGAAGAUUCGUCGGCACUUUGUUCUUCAUCACGAUUCUCUUCCAAAUCCUCUGCCUCAGCAGCCUCUGCCACGGCGGCGCUCUGUUGCCGAGGCGCCUUCUGCUUCAUCCCCAGAUUCCGGCGGCGGAGAUGGAUCGGGAUCAUUACAUUGGUCAUGUACAGCAUGAGCAGGGCAAGAAAGCUGUGGAGCAGAGUUUGAGGAAAGCCCCUCCGAGCAGGUUCAACCCCAUCCAGAACAAGUAGGGAUCGAUCCCAGCCGUCGAUCUUUGCUUCAGUCUAGUGGUACUUAGACUCAAAUUAAGUGAGGUUUUUGUGUAGAGCAAUUAUUAUAUAAGUGUUCUUCAAUUCUUUUUCUUACGUUAAUUUUGUAAGAUUUGUGGCUCGAAUGUUUGUCUUGUCACCAGUUUUUUCAUUAAAAAGCAGAUCUAUAACAGGUUGUAAAUACAUUUUCCAAUCAUUACUUUUUCACAUCCAUGAUCGCCAAACAUCCCCAAAAAUUACCCACAAGUUAACGGUUUCAUCUAUAGUGGUUACGAAUUUUAAGAAAAAUGAGCUAGCAUUCGUAGUCUAAAUUUUAUAUUAUGAUGGUACGUAACAUGAUAUCCGAUUGAAUGGCUCGUGAGGCUCCUCACUACGAAUCUUUACCUUGUAGCUGAACCUCUAGUUCAAAGAACUUUAUUACAAAGCUUACAUAUGUGAAAAUGGUGAAAUGAAUCCUUACUAAUUUUCCAACAUGUCUAGAAAGAUCUUUCAAGAACCUUACAAGCACAAAAGGAAGGCUCAUGGGCCAUAUUGGCCCAUAUCAAUCGACAAAUAUAAGCCCAAAUUCAAGCUCUGUUAUGUGAUGAUGUAUCCAUGAGAUUAGGACUAGGGAGUGCUCAGUCUAGGCUAUAAGUCCAAUAUAUGGACACCGAUAAGCUGGUUUUUUGGUGUGAAGUCUUUCUUCUGCAUGGUUGUUGAAGUUGUCUGAGCUAUUUAGGGAGUGUUUAUACCAAUAAGACGGGUUGGUAUAGCCCAUCUUCUGGUGCUGAAGUCUUUCUUUUAACAUGGCUGCUGAAAUUUUCUGAGCCAUCAGAUCAUUUUUUAUCCAGCUCUUUUCAAUUUAACGGCUCAAAGUUGAAUGGGUUGUUUAGGGGUGCUCUGUCCCGGCUGGAGCUUAGUAUGAACACCAAGAAGACGAGCUGAGUAUGGGGGUCCAUUUGAACCGGACAACUUGCUGAUGAAGAUUAGCCACAAACAAGGGAACAAGAGGAGACAAAAGUAACCAAAUAUAUUCUGGUUCUCUUCUUAUCCUAGGAAAAAGUUGUUUAUCCACAAAUUAUAAACCUUUGCUCUUUAUUUCAAUUUCCUCAACAGCUUUGAAAUCAGUAAAAGCAAGGUUUGGGAAUAAAGGAAACGAAUAAGAGAAUAUAUAUUUUUGAAAACAAAGAUCGAUGAACAUAAAAGUAAAAUUGGCAAUCCAGUUGCCUUUUAAUUCCCCCCCAACCAAACAAGCCCUAAAGUCGACCUCUUCUGAAACUUGAAAGAUCUGAUUGACUGGACCAAUUAACUUCCCUACAUAUGCACCUUCCUCACAACCCUUUUUCUUAAAUCUAAAUUUCGAAACAAUACUUCAACUUAAUCUCAAUUUCAUAGGAAAAUUUACUUUUGACAUAUUCAUUUAUUAUCAUUUCCAAUUGAAGCAUAAGAAAGUUUUAUUCCAGAAGAUUCUGAGAAAUUGGAGUGUACCUAAAACGGCUACCGACUCCAAACAAAAUUUCCUGUACUCAAAAUGACAAGGCACAGGUGNNNNNNNNNNNNNNNNNNNNNNNNNNNNNNNNNNNNNNNNNNNNNNNNNNNNNNNNNNNNNNNNNNNNNNNNNNNNNNNNNNNNNNNNNNNNNNNNNNNNNNNNNNNNNNNNNNNNNNNNNNNNNNNNNNNNNNNNNNNNNNNNNNNNNNNNNNNNNNNNNNNNNNNNNNNNNNNNNNNNNNNNNNNNNNNNNNNNNNNNNNNNNNNNNNNNNNNNNNNNNNNNNNNNNNNNNNNNNNNNNNNNNNNNNNNNNNNNNNNNNNNNNNNNNNNNNNNNNNNNNNNNNNNNNNNNNNNNNNNNNNNNNNNNNNNNNNNNNNNNNNNNNNNNNNNNNNNNNNNNNNNNNNNNNNNNNNNNNNNNNNNNNNNNNNNNNNNNNNNNNNNNNNNNNNNNNNNNNNNNNNNNNNNNNNNNNNNNNNNNNNNNNNNNNNNNNNNNNNNNNNNNNNNNNNNNNNNNNNNNNNNNNNNNNNNNNNNNNNNNNNNNNNNNNNNNNNNNNNNNNNNNNNNNNNNNNNNNNNNNNNNNNNNNNNNNNNNNNNNNNNNNNNNNNNNNNNNNNNNNNNNNNNNNNNNNNNNNNNNNNNNNNNNNNNNNNNNNNNNNNNNNNNNNNNNNNNNNNNNNNNNNNNNNNNNNNNNNNNNNNNNNNNNNNNNNNNNNNNNNNNNNNNNNNNNNNNNNNNNNNNNNNNNNNNNNNNNNNNNNNNNNNNNNNNNNNNNNNNNNNNNNNNNNNNNNNNNNNNNNNNNNNNNNNNNNNNNNNNNNNNNNNNNNNNNNNNNNNNNNNNNNNNNNNNNNNNNNNNNNNNNNNNNNNNNNNNNNNNNNNNNNNNNNNNNNNNNNNNNNNNNNNNNNNNNNNNNNNNNNNNNNNNNNNNNNNNNNNNNNNNNNNNNNNNNNNNNNNNNNNNNNNNNNNNNNNNNNNNNNNNNNNNNNNNNNNNNNNNNNNNNNNNNNNNNNNNNNNNNNNNNNNNNNNNNNNNNNNNNNNNNNNNNNNNNNNNNNNNNNNNNNNNNNNNNNNNCUAAUUAAAGGAUUGUGUGUUUGAAUUUCAUCGAGCAUGCCAUUUGUUUUUCUAGCCUUUUGCGGUAGCAAUUGAUGUUUCAUCAAUUGAGAUAUAGUCGUGAAUAAUGCAUUUAAAAAUCAAUAAAUUGUAUAUAUUUUCUAACUUUUUUUUACGGUAAUUAAUAGAGUGCGAUUGAAUAAGUGAAUUUGUAUUUCAUAUGUUAAAUAUAUGAAUUUAAAAUACAUACGUUUUAAACAUCAUUAAAAUUGAAAUACAAGUGUUUGGAUGUGUUGUUUUUAACUUGGAUUUGAAAUGAUAGUAUUGUGAUAAAAGAGGGGAAUGUUGAAUCUUUCUCAUCUUGUUUCUCCAUUUUCAUGGUCUUCCUUCUUCUUCUUCUUCUUCUUCUUCUUCUUCUUCUUCUUCUUCUUCUUCUUCUUCUUCUUCUUCUUCUUCUUCUUCUUCUUCUUCUUCUUCUUCUUCUUCUUCUUCUUCUUCUUCUUCUUCUUCUUCUUCUUCUUCUUCUUCUUCUUCUUCUUCUUCUUCUUCUUCUUCUUCUUCUUCUUCUUCUUCUUCUUCUUCUUCUUCUUCUUCUUCUUCUUCUUCUUCUUCUUCUUCUUCUUCUUCUUCUUCUUCUUCUUCUUCUUCUUCUUCUUCUUCUUCUUCUUCUUCUUCUUCUUCUUCUUCUUCUUCUUCUUCUUCUUCUUCUUCUUCUUCUUCUUCUUCUUCUUCUUCUUCUUCUUCUUCUUCUUCUUCUUCUUCUUCUUCUUCACCUUUGAACAACAUGUCACUGAAUUUUUCACCAUUCCACAUCCGUUAAUUUUAUACAAAACCUCUCUUCCCCUCUUCAAACAUCAUCAUCCCCCAUUAUAAACAGAACAUAACUUACUCCAACAAACAAAGAACAACAAACAAGAGCAAAAUAACAAAUGGCGUUUUGGAGAAGAAAAAGGAUCGCAGCCAAUCUGGACAACAACAAUAAGCAUAAGAAUCACUCAGGGAUUGGCGGAAAGAAGAAGGAAGAAGAGUCGCUUCAUCUUCAAGAUCAGCUGGAAGAAGAGAAAGCGGUAGUGGUUCCGACCCAUUUCCUCUGCCCCAUCCGAUCACAUUGUCCUCUGGCAUCUCCUAUGACCGUGACAACAUCGAGACCUGGCUUAAGGGCAGCAACUUCACUUGCCCAGCCACCAAUCAGACUCUCCUCAGCUUCGAUUUGGUACCCAAUCACUCCGUCCGACGUAUGAUUCAAGACUUGUGCGUUCAGAGCGGCAGAUUCCGCGUCGAGAAAAUCUUUACUCCCAGAGUCCCUGUUUCCUCCUCUCAAAUCUCUGUCGUCCUCCGGUUGGAGGAUUCUACCGCGAGAUCGAACGUAUCGGAGACCUUGGACUCCUUGCGUAAGAUUAACAGUUGGGGGAACGAGAGCGAGAGGAAUCGAUUGUGUAUUGUCUCCGUUAGAGCCUCCGCCGUCCUUGCAACUGCGUUCGACGGAUUUGCCGUCAGAGUACUUGAGCAGCUACUAGCUUCGAUUAGCUGGAUGCUUCCCAUCAUCGACGCUGAAGCUCUCGGGCGAUUGGGAUCGCCGGAGUCGGUGAAAGCACUAGUCUAACUUCCUGAAACCAAACAGCAAUCAAGAAGCUCGCCGGAGACGUUUCGGCAAAGCACAAGCCGUCAUUGAACAUCUUCUACGAAACUGGAUAGGUUGCAGCUGUGAUAGGCUUGGAGGAUUCUACCGCGAGAAUUUGGGCCUUGUAUUUCAUUUAAAAUCAAAUACCAAAUACAUAUUUCAUCCAAACAUUAAAAUUUAAUAUUUCAAAUACCAAAUACAAAUCCAUCUAUCCAAACUCACUCAAACUUCAUUUUAAAUUGUCGUAAGCUAUACAUUCAAAGAUUCAAUCGAUUACGAGUUUAUUCCUUUCUUAAACAAACAUGAAUACAUCAUGAUCUAAACAUAUCAAUUGUGUCCUAUACAAGUAAGUAGUUCAUGCAAAUAUCCAUGUUGAUCAUUUCAAACUAAAAAAAAAAUACAAACUUUAGACCACCCACUCAAAUGCAAACCGAACAGAUUUUUUCCAACCAACAAGGAAUUUGCAAUCAUGGAUCAUAAUGAGUCGUUCAAAAUCAAAACCAUAGCACAAAGACCUGCAUCAAAAGCAGAGAAAGAAACACCCCCACCC
rnacentral:lncRNA from 1 species